rnacentral:lncRNA from 1 species
ACUGUCCAUGCCCUAAUCUAACUGUCUAAAUUUCAACCUUUAAUUUACCCAUUAAGUACAACCGUAAGAUCAUUAUAAUCCAACGACCACCGUUUCCCUUUUCUCCCAUCUCUCUCAUUCUCUCCACUACACCAACCGCCCCCUUUCCCUUCCUCAUCAUCCCUCACUUUCCUCAUAGUCGCAAAUCUCGCCAUUGUUUUCAUUUUCUCAUCACCUCCUUUCUCAUGGUAUGAUUUGAAACCCUAACACAAAAGAGUGUCGAUUUCAACUGGCACCACUUCAUUUCUCAUCAUCGCCUCACAUGCACCCCAAGAUCGAGAUAAAUUCUCAAAAAUUAUAGAGAAUCCUUGACCUCAGUAUAAUCUUUGAAGAUCUAGAGGUCAAACUCAAAGCCCGCUGUGUAAAGCUUAUAUCAGAAAGAUUUAUGGUCGGAUAAUGCUUCAAAUGACCAGUUCUUUCAUCAUUUUAGGAGAUGGUAAAAGUCUUCACCCCUUUCCCUCUGAUUUGUUUACCUCUAUUCCCCUUAUUUUAUCAUGAGUUAUCGUCAUAAUUUCGUCACUGCUUCUUUUCAUCUUUUGUUCGAAUCUGAAGCUCCAAAUUUCAAACCCUAAAGCCCCAACUUUUGGCUAUAAAUAUCGGGCUUUAAUUGCCUCAACAACCAUGAAUCAAUAGCCUAGUAAAUGCACUAAAAUUAACUGAAAAGGCUUUAAAUCUCUAGUUUCUUUACUCACAGUCCUUUCUUUUCUCUUUCUAGUCGAGUUGAUCAUUCUUGAGAUGAUUCCGGAAUGGCUAAGGUUCAAUACUUGGUUUGUUGUCCUGAAGAAGGUCAGUAUGCUUUCAUUCCGUUUACUUCAACGUUCAAAUUUCUGUGCAUGACAAAUAAAUCCGAUAGUUCUCAUGUUUGAUUGGUAUAGUGUAUGUUAGUUAAAAAAACUCAUGUUAGCAGUUGCGUUCUCAGAGUUUACUCGCUUAAUUUGAUUGUGAAGCAUGUUGUAGGAUCUGUCUAUUUGGCAUGACUUUGGCACUAUUUUGUUCGUGUAUUAAACCUCUUCUGAAUUAAGUUAUUUUCUUCUUUAUUAGUAUUAGCUAUAAAUGUUAUUCUCUAUUAUCAUAAGGCUAUUUUGUUGUUGUAGAUAUCAUGUCUAUAAGGCUUACUUGUUUAAGUUCCAAAUUACAUGAUGAAGUUCAUCUUAUCCUGUUUUAUUACUUCCUUUGUUUCAAUUUAUGUGAACCUGUUUGACUGGGCACGAAGUUUAAGAAACAUGAAGACUUUUGGAAUUUGUGGUCCUAAACAAGUCAAAAAGAGGUCCAGAGUAUUUGUGUGGUUAUAAAAGCUUUUCGUUAAGGGUAGAAUUGGAAGUUUAAGCUAAAUUGUUUCCAAAUUUAGAAAGGGGUCAUUCCUUUUGGAACGAACCAAAAAGGAAAUAGGUUCACAUAAACUAGAACGGAUGUAGUAGCUUUUCUCUAGUUCUCUGUUUAACAAGACUCUUAUGAAACUAAGUCUAAACCUGAAAACCUUCAGUUUGGAUGUAGAAUAUCUUAUGAAGCUUGAACAUGAACCAUUACUUCCUAAUCAAUGAGUUUGACAACUUUUAAGUGACUGUCAUGAAAUUGGGCAUAGGUUUAUCUAGUUCCCAAUUUUGAUAACUUAGGCUCUCUAUAUGUAAAAACCAUGUUUAUGUGAUGGAAGUGAUUGCCAUGUAGUCUGAUGCAUUUGUCUAACUGUAAUAACACACCGGACCUCUGUUGAACCUCUAUGAAUGAAUUACCUGGUUGUGUGUUUACUGAUUGAGGAAGAAAUAUCCUGCUUAAGUUUUGUCCAAUGCUCUGCUUAAGUGUUCAUUUAGACAACUUAGAUUAGUAUUCAUCUCCAUAUGUAGAAAGCAUUUCUAUAGGGGCAACGUCACGACCCGAAAUUCCAACCUCAGGGCUGUGAUGAGUCUAACAUCCCACUAGCUAGGAAAGCCAACGUUAGCUAAUUACUUAACCCGUUUUAACAAUUUAAAAGAGAACAUUAAUAAUACGAAGCUAUACUAGUCUAAAAUAGGUGUGAUAAAUACAACAUAGCGUAGUUUAAACAUAUUCCAAAAAUAUGGAGCCAAGAAUACAUGAGCAUACUAGAAUUCUACAACUAAGUCUGAACGAAUUACAACUAUUCGAAAUAAGGAAAACAAUAAAGAUAGGGUAAAAGGGGACUUCAGGGACUGCGAACGCCAGUAGCUCUACCUCAAGUCUCCAAAAGUAGUUUAAUUCGAAUAGUCUCCGCUAUGCGCCGCUGGGACCAACACCAGUAUCUGCACAAGAAGUGUAGAAGUGUAGCAUGAGUAAAACUGACCCCAUAUACUCUGUAAGUACCGAGCCUAACAUCGACUAUGUAGUGAUGAGGCUAUGGCAAGUCACUCACAAAUAACAUGUACGAAAUAAUAAUAACAGAAAAUAGGAAUAGAAAUAAAGAAGUAAACUCAUAUGAACGGACCCGAAGGUCAACUACUAGAAGGCCUUAGAAUAACAUAGUCUCAAAUCUCAUAUCACAAUAUAGAGAAUAAGCUCUACAACCACAAACAACUACAACACACUAAGACCGUUGCAGCGUGCAACCUGUUCCCAAGUUUCAACAUAAUAUCUUAUACAAUGUACAACUCAUUUCCAAUAUGAAAUCAUAAUAUUUCACGUUCCGUUGUAGCGUGAAAUCCGAUUUCUCAAUAUUAAUUUAUUUCAGUACCGUUGCAGUGCGUAACCCGAUCUUCCAAUAUUAAUUUAUUAACAUAAAUAACUCAACACCACUUUUACGUGAUAUCAACACAAAAGAGAAGGAAAUAUGCGGAAUAUUAAAGAAGUGCAAAUUCAAACGGAGAAUAUCCAACAUCUCGUAAUCCCAAACCUUGACGAUUCAUCAAUACAAGAAUAGCUAAAUGUCUCACGUAAUCGAAAUAACAUAAUAGAGUGCAUCAAGUAAUAUAAAGACAAUAAAAGCAAGUAAAAAUAUGUGACAUUUAGAAUAUACAAUUAAGGCAAGUAGGAACAUGUAGCAAGUAAGAAAAUAUUGAGUGAAAAUGUACAAAUCAAAACAAGUAACAAUUAAAUAAAAAUUAACAAGUAAAGCUUAGAUAUCAAGUAAGAAUGUGUAGAAAUUAAAGCAUAUAAUAAGAGAUAAUAGGGAAUAAAUGAAAACAUGAAAGUAAAUAGACCGAUCCCGCAUGUUUAAUCCCGUGACGACGCAUAUACACUCGUCACCUUGCAUAUACGUUGUUUCCCUACAUAAUUCACAUAACACAUAGUCUAACAAGUCCUAAUUCCCUCAAGUCAAGGUUAGAUACAACACUUACCUCUUUGCGAAAUCAACUCAACAAUCAACCAUGGCUUUUCCUUUCGAACAAGCCUCCAAACCAACCAAAUCUAGCCAAAUAUCGUUCAAAUAAUUCAAAAUAAGCUUUAGAAACUACCCACAAGUGAAAAUAAUUUGAUCUUUAAUGAAAUUGGAAAAAGUCAACAAAACCUCUUGGUCAAAACUCGAGAUUCGUACCAAAACCCGAUGACCCAUUCACCCCUGAGCCCGGUUAUGUGAUUUGUUUUGAAAUUCGACCUCAAUUUGAGGUCUAAAUUUGAUGUUAAAAACAGAUGAAAAAUAAUGAAGAAUUGAAAUAAAAUGGAUUAGAGUUUCUUACCAAUGAUUUUGGGAAGAACAAAUUCUCGAAAAAUCGCCUCUAAAGUGUUUAGAGUUGAGAAAUGGUGUAAAAUGAGUUAAGUCCCGUUUUACCCAUUUUUUACCCAGCUUCAGGUGUCGCAAUUGCGAACUUCGUGUAACGACCCAACCAGUCGUUUUGAGUAUUACAACCCCGUUCCCCCAUUUACUACUCAAUUUAUGCCUUACAAUUGAUUUAUGACUUAUCGGGUUAGUUGGUUCGGGUCCGGAAAGAUUUUAGAGUAAAAUGAGACAAUUAGUCUCAUAAUUAAAAAUUUAAGUUGGAAAGGUUGACCGGAUAUUCACUUAUGUGUAAACGACCUCGGAAUUAAAUUCUGAUGAUUCCAAUAGCUCUGUAUGGCGAUUUUGGACUUAGGAGUGUGUCCGAAAAAUUAUUUGGAGGUCCGUAGUGGAAUUAGGCUUGAAAUGGCAAAAGUUGAAUUUUUGGGAAGAUUGACCGGGGAGUUGACUUUUUGAUAUCGGGGUCAGAAUCCGAUUCUGGAAAUUGGAAUAGUUUUAUUUUGUCAUUUAUGACUUGUGUGCAAAAUUUGAGGUCAAUCGAACUUGAUUCGAUAGGUUUCAGCAUCGAAUGUAGAAGUUGGAAUUUCUUAGUUUUAUUAAGCUUGAAUUGGGACAUGAUUCAUGGUUUUAGCGUUGUUUGAUGUGAUUUGAGGCUUCGACUAAGUCCGUAUGAUGUUUUAGGACUUGUUGGUAUAUUUGGUUGAGGUCCCGAGGGGCUCGGGUGAGUUUCGGGGUGGUUUCAGACCAUUUCUAGACCAUUUUUAAUUGUUGGUUUCUGUCUAUAGAGGUGUGCAUCGCGAUCGCGAACAUUUGUUCGCGUUCACGAAGAGAAAACAGCAGUUUGUGGCCAUGUGAAUCGCGAUCGUGGAAGCUCUUUCGCGAUCGCGUAGAACAAAAAUCUCUGCUGCACUGACCCGAUUUUCGAAGCUUNNNNNNNNNNNNNNNNNNNNNNNNNNNNNNNNNNNNNNNNNNNNNNNNNNNNNNNNNNNNNNNNNNNNNNNNNNNNNNNNNNNNNNNNNNNNNNNNNNNNNNNNNNNNNNNNNNNNNNNNNNNNNNNNNNNNNNNNNNNNNNNNNNNNNNNNNNNNNNNNNNNNNNNNNNNNNNNNNNNNNNNNNNNNNNNNNNNNNNNNNNNNNNNNNNNNNNNNNNNNNNNNNNNNNNNNNNNNNNNNNNNNNNNNNNNNNNNNNNNNNNNNNNNNNNNNNNNNNNNNNNNNNNNNNNNNNNNNNNNNNNNNNNNNNNNNNNNNNNNNNNNNNNNNNNNNNNNNNNNNNNNNNNNNNNNNNNNNNNNNNNNNNNNNNNNNNNNNNNNNNNNNNNNNNNNNNNNNNNNNNNNNNNNNNNNNNNNNNNNNNNNNNNNNNNNNNNNNNNNNNNNNNNNNNNNNNNNNNNNNNNNNNNNNNNNNNNNNNNNNNNNNNNNNNNNNNNNNNNNNNNNNNNNNNNNNNNNNNNNNNNNNNNNNNNNNNNNNNNNNNNNNNNNNNNNNNNNNNNNNNNNNNNNNNNNNNNNNNNNNNNNNNNNNNNNNNNNNNNNNNNNNNNNNNNNNNNNNNNNNNNNNNNNNNNNNNNNNNNNNNNNNNNNNNNNNNNNNNNNNNNNNNNNNNNNNNNNNNNNNNNNNNNNNNNNNNNNNNNNNNNNNNNNNNNNNNNNNNNNNNNNNNNNNNNNNNNNNNNNNNNNNNNNNNNNNNNNNNNNNNNNNNNNNNNNNNNNNNNNNNNNNNNNNNNNNNNNNNNNNNNNNNNNNNNNNNNNNNNNNNNNNNNNNNNNNNNNNNNNNNNNNNNNNNNNNNNNNNNNNNNNNNNNNNNNNNNNNNNNNNNNNNNNNNNNNNNNNNNNNNNNNNNNNNNNNNNNNNNNNNNNNNNNNNNNNNNNNNNNNNNNNNNNNNNNNNNNNNNNNNNNNNNNNNNNNNNNNNNNNNNNNNNNNNNNNNNNNNNNNNNNNNNNNNNNNNNNNNNNNNNNNNNNNNNNNNNNNNNNNNNNNNNNNNNNNNNNNNNNNNNNNNNNNNNNNNNNNNNNNNNNNNNNNNNNNNNNNNNNNNNNNNNNNNNNNNNNNNNNNNNNNNNNNNNNNNNNNNNNNNNNNNNNNNNNNNNNNNNNNNNNNNNNNNNNNNNNNNNNNNNNNNNNNNNNNNNNNNNNNNNNNNNNNNNNNNNNNNNNNNNNNNNNNNNNNNNNNNNNNNNNNNNNNNNNNNNNNNNNNNNNNNNNNNNNNNNNNNNNNNNNNNNNNNNNNNNNNNNNNNNNNNNNNNNNNNNNNNNNNNNNNNNNNNNNNNNNNNNNNNNNNNNNNNNNNNNNNNNNNNNNNNNNNNNNNNNNNNNNNNNNNNNNNNNNNNNNNNNNNNNNNNNNNNNNNNNNNNNNNNNNNNNNNNNNNNNNNNNNNNNNNNNNNNNNNNNNNNNNNNNNNNNNNNNCCGCUUACUGUAGAACCACCUGCAUCCAUUAAAGAUGCAGCGCCCCCGAUAAUAGGGACGUUAGUAUUGUUCGCAAAAGCGAGGCUCGCAAAUGCAAGAUCUGCAACAGACACCAGAAACAGGCACUGCACCAGCAGUCCUCAAAACUAUCCAAACAUGCACAUAAGUGUAAUAACAUCAUAUAAACUUGCUCGCGCAAUCAAAACAUCUGGAACCACGAAUCGGACAUCAAAACACAUGAAUUUCAAAAGCAAACUCAAGAGUAGCUAGGAACACAACCAUGCGUCCGAUUCUUAUCAAACCAACUCGAAAUUGCACCAAAUUUUGCAGACAAGUUUCAAAUAGAAAAAUUGACAUAUACCAAGUCCCAAAAACAAAAUUCGAACCCGAUAACCAUAAAUUCAACCUACGAUCAAACCUAGGAGAUUUCCAAAUGUUCAAAUUGCUAACUCUUGAUUUUGGGCUAAAUCAACCUAGGGACCUCAGAAUUCAAUUUUGGGCAUACGCCCAAGUCCAAAAUCACAAUACGAACCUACUGGAAUAGUCAAAAUACCAAUCCGGGAUCGUUUACCCAAAAUGUUGACCAUAGUCAAGUCAAGUUAUUUUUAAAGCCAAAAAUCAUAUUUUCUUUAAAUCUUUACGUAAAAACAUUUUGGAAAAUUACACGGACCACACACGCAAAUCAAGAAGUAUCAAAUUAAGCUAAGGGAGGUCUUGGAACACUGAAAUAAAGGCUAGUGCUCAAAAUGACCUAUCGGGUUGUCACAUUCUCCACCUCUAAAAGAAACGUUCGUCCUCUAGCAGACAUAGAAAAGUACCUGGAUUGGUAAAAAGGUGUGAGUGUCUACUCUGCAUAUCGGACUCGAACUCCCACGUAGCUUCCUCGAUCGGCUGACCUCUCUAUUGCACUUUUAUCGAAGGAAAACUCUUAGAUCUUAACUUUCGAACUUGCCAGGUUAGAAUAGCCACCGACUCCUCCUCAUAGGCCAAGUUUUCAUCAAGCUGGACCGUUCCGAAGUCUAGAUCAUACAAGCUAUCCUCAUGGUACUUCUGAAGCAUGGAAACAUUAAAUACCAGAUGUACCCCUGAUAAGCUAGGAGAAAAUGCAAGAAUGUAAGCAACUUGGAGGAGAACCUUCUCCCCCACCAAUAAACCUCGGGCUCAACUUUCCCUUCUUCCCGAACUGCAUCACGCCCUUCAUUGGGGACAUUUCCCCCACAAUAUAAGCUAUAUCUCGAACCUUCCGGUCUACAUAAAUCUUCUGCUUGGACUGGGCUAUACGAAGUCGCUCCUGAAUUACCUUAACCUACUCCAUAGCAUCACAGACCAAAUUAGUGCCCAAUAACGUAGGCUCACCGGGCUCGAACCAACCACUCGAAAAACGACAUUGCCUCCCAUAUACGGCCUCAUAGGGCACUAUAUGAAUACUCGACUAGUAACUAUUAUUGUAGGCGAACUCUGCUAGAGGUAAGAAUGGGUCCCAUAAACCUCCGAAAUCCAUAACACAAGCACGUAACAUGUCCUCCAGGAUUUGAAUAGUGCGCUCAGACAGUCCGUUCGAAUGAGGAUGAAACGUUGUGCUCAGCUCGACCCGCGUGCCAAACUCACGCUGUACGGCUCCCCAAAAAUGUAAUUUUAACUGCGUGCCUCGAUAAAAAAUGAUGGAAAUGGGAAUGUAGUGCAGACAGAUAAUCUACGGAAUGUAAAUCUGAGCCAACCUCUUUGAAGAAUAGGAAGUCACACAGAAAUGAAGUGUGCGGACUUAGUCAACCGAUACACGAUAACCAAGACCGUGUCAUACUUUCUCAAGGUCCGUGGCAAGCCUCCCACAAAAUCCAUAGUGAUGCGCUCCCUCUUCCACUUCGGUAUCUACAAUCUCUAAUUCAAUCCACCCGGUUUCUGAUGUUCAUACAUCACCUGUUGACAAUUCAAACACCGAGAUACAUUUGCAACAAUGUCUUUCUUCAUUCUUCACUACCAAUAAUGCUGUUUCAAGUCACGAUACAUCUUCGUGACACCUGGGUGAAUAGAAUAGCACGAACUGUAACCCUCCUAAAGGAUCAAAUUUCUCAUCCCAUCAACAUUUGGAACAAAAAUCUACCCCUGAAGUUGCAUAACACCAUCAUCACCGAUCACGACCUCCUUAGCACCACCCCACUGCACCAUAUCCUUCAACACCAAAAAGCGAGGAUCAUCAAACUGGCGAGCCUUGAUAUGCUCCAACAAUGAAGACCGUGCCACAACAUAAGCAAGAACCCGACUGGGCUCCAAAACAUCCAAUCUCACAAACUGAUUGGCUAAAACCUGAACAUCCAUGGCUAAUGGCCUCUCUGCUACCGGUAAAUAUGCUAAACUACCAUGGUCUCCCCCUUCCUACUCAAUGCAUCGGCCACUAUAUUGAACUUCCCUUGAUGAUAUAAUAUGGUGAUAUCAUAGUCUUUUAACAACUCUAACGGCCUCUGUUGCCGCAAAUUAAGGUCAUAUGGUGAUAUCAUAGUCUUUUAACAACUCUAACUACCUCUGUUGCCGCAAAUUAAGGUCUUCCUGCUUGAACAAGUACUGGAGACACUGUUGGUCAGUAUAGACCUCACAAUGAAUGUCGUACAGAUAGUGCCUCCAAAUCUUUAGCGCGUGAACAAUGGUCGCCAACUCUAAAUCAUGAACAAGGUAAUUCUUCUCAUGAACCUUCAACUGCCGAGACACAUAAGCAAUCACCCUACCAUCCUACAUCAACACUGCUCUAAGCCCAAUAUUUGAUGAGACAGAAUACACGGUGUAAGAUCCUAAACCUGUAGGCAACACCAACAUUGAGGUUAUAGUUAAUGCAGUCUUGAGCUUCUAAAAGCUCAACUCAAUCUCGUCAGACCAUUUGAAAAGAGCACCCUUCUAGGCCAACUUGGUUAAUGGGGCUGAGAUAGAUGAAAACCCCUCCACGAACCGACGAUAAUAACCCGCCAAACCUAAGAAGCUCUGAAUCUCUGUAGCUGAAGUAGGUCUAGGACAGUUCUGAACUACCUCAAUCUUCUUAGGAUCCACCUUAAUGCCCUUGGAAGAUACAACAUGGCCCAAAAAGGCAACCAAGUCCAACAAGAAUUCACACUUUGAAAACUUGGCAUAUAACUGAUGAUCUCUCAGAGUUUGAAGUACAAUCCGCAGAUGCUGCUCAUUCACCUCUCGACUGCGGGAAUAAACCAAAAUAUCAUCAAUGAAGACGAUCACAAAAGAAUCCAGAUAGAGCUUGAACACCUGGUUAUCAAAUCCAUAAAUACUGAUGGAGCAUUAGUCAAGCCAAAUGACUCACUAAGAACUCAUAGUUACCAUACCGAGUCUGAAAAGUUGUCUUAGGGGCAUCCGAUGCCCUAAUAUUUAACCGAUGGUAGCUAGAUCUCAAGGCAAUCUUGGAAAACUCCCCAGCAAAGGAUACUUGUUAUUGAUAGUGACCAUGUUCAACUACAGAUAAUCUAUACACAUCCCCAUCGUUCCAUUCUUCUUCUACAAAAACAACACCAGUGCACCCCAAGGAAAAACACCCCGUCUAAUGAAUCCUUUAUCAAGUAAAUCCUGCAACUACUCAUUCAAUUCUUUCAACUCAACUAGGGCCAUACGAUACGUUGCGGUAGAAAUGGGCUGAGUGCCCGAAACCAGAUCAAUGCAGAAGUCGAUAUCUUUAUCGGGUGUCAUCCCCGAAAAAUAUAUAGGAAACAUCUCUAGAAACUCGCACUAAACUAGUACUAAAUCCAUGAAAGGAACCUCUGCACUUGGAUCUCGAAUAUAGGCCAAAUAUGCAAAACACCCCUUCUCGACCAUACGCCGAGCCUUCGCAUAAGAAAUAACACUGCUAAUAGAAUGGCCAGGAGCCCCUCUCUAUUCUAAUCGAAGCAACCUCGACAUGGCCAAUCCAUGACCAAGAUAACAUUAAAGUGCACCUUAUCAAGUAGUAGAAGGUCUACCCUAGUCUCAUAGCUCCAAAUAAAAACCACACACGAGCAAUAAACACGAUCUACCACAAUAGAAUCUCCCACAGGCGUGGACACAUAGACAGGAGCACUUAAAGAAUCAUGAGGCAUAACCAGAUAUGAAGCAAAAUAGGAUGACACGUAUGAAUAAGUAGAGCCCUGGUCAAAUACAACUGAGGCAUCUCUUUGGCAAACCGGAACAAUACCUGUGAUGACGACAUAUGAUGAUGUUUCCUGAGGUCUAGUUGGGAGUGCAUAAAAACAAGGCGGAGCCCAACCACUCUGAACUCCGCCUCUCGGAUGGCCUCUAACUGACUGGCCUCCACCUCUAACAACCUGAACACCACCUCUAGCAGCCUGGCCCUCGCCUCUAGCUAGUUGUGCGGGUGGUGGAGCAACCGGUGUCGGAAUCAUGGAAUGAGUACCCUAAUAUGGUAUGCUGCUCAUCAAUCUAGGAUAAUACCUCCUGAUAUGACCUGCAUCGUCGCACUCAAAGCAACAUCGUAAUUGGCCUAACUGCUAAGUUUGAGAUGAUCCCUGAUGACUCGAAUGACCACUAUAGUAAAUUUGUAGCGGUAGUGCACUGAUAGAAGAUAAAGGACCCGUAAGAAUCACGACUUCCCAAAGCACCAUGUGCUACCUGAAGCGUUGACUGAAUCGUCAUGUGAGGGUGGCCUCUACCAAAUGGCCUCUAAAUGAGGCACCACUGAAAUCACAAAAAUGACAAGGCCUCUUCUCCGAUAACGCCUCUCUACCCUGACCACGAAGCAUCUCGAUCUGUCUAGCAAUCUCUACGGAGCGCUGGAAAGAAAUAUCAUCCCUAGUUUCUUUGGUCAUCUGUAUCCUGCUACCAAAAGUAGGACCAUCAAUGAAUCUCCUCACCCUAUCUCUGUUAGUAGGAACCAAGAUAGCUGCAUGGAGGGAUAGGUCCACAAAUCUGGUCUCAUAUUGGGUAACUGUCAUACUACCCUACCGGAGGCGCUCGAAUUGCCUGCGGUACUCCUCUCUCAGAGUAAAAGAGAUGAACUUCUCCAAAAAUAGCUAUGAAAAGUGAUCCCAAGUUAGUGGAAGUGAACCUGCUGGUCUGCCUCGCUCAUAAUCCUACCACCACCUCUUGGUAGAACUGGUCAUCUGAAACACUAAAAAGUCGACUCCAUUGUACUCCACAAUACCCAUAUUGCGCAAUAUCUCGUGGUAACAGACCAAAUAAUCAUAUGGGUCCUCAGAAGGUAUACCACCAAAAAGAGUAGCAAAGAGCUUGGUGAACAUAUCCAAACUUUUCAAUCCCUUAGAAGACAUCGCGGGCCUCUUCCCGGCUAUGUAGCAAUCACGGGCUGGACUACUCUAACUACAGGAACUGUCGGAGUCUGGUACAAGGGAUCCACUUGCUUUGGAGUGAGAGUGGUGGGAGUCUGGGCUACUCCCCUAGCUUGAGAGACACUUAGUGCCACAAGAAAUACUCCAGCCUGGGCCAUUCUCUCCAUAAGGCCCACUAAGCAGACUAGGGCAUCUUGAACUACGAGAGUAGCAAUGAAUCCCUUCGGGACUUAAGCGGGUCCGACAGGUGCAGUUUAAAUAGGGAUCUCCUCCUUAUGCUCAAUUUGAGGCUCUGCAAUGGGUGCUGUUGCACGUGCUCUAGACUGAGCUAUGCCUCUUCCUCGGUCCCUACCUCGGGCCUGCCCCCUACCCCUGGUAGUGGCUGCAACAGAGGGCUCUAGCUCCUACCCGGAUGAAGAUGUUGUACGUGUCCUCAACAUCUGCGAGAGAACAAUAAUAGAAUGGUUCAAACUUCAGUAAAGUCGCACGAUAGAGAAAGAAAGAAGUAAAAUUUUCCUAAAGCCUUAUAGCCUCUAGAAGAUAUGUACAGACGUCUCCAUAUAGAUCCUCCAAACUCUACUAAGUCUGCUCAUGACUCGUGAGAGCUAGGCAACAUAGAGCUCUAAUACCAACUUGUCACAACCUGGAAUCUCAACCUCAAGUUCGUGAUGGCGCCUAACAUUUUAUUUGCUAGGCAAGCCAACGUUAGCUAAUUACUUAACCAGUUUUAACAAUUUAAAAAAGAACAUUAAUAAUACGAAGUUGUACUAGUCUGAAAUAGGUGUGAUAAAUACAACGUAGCUUAGUCUAAACAUAUCUUAGAAAUCUAGAGUCACGAAUACAUGAGCAUACUAGAAUUCUACAUAUAGAGUCUGAACGAAUUACAACUGCUCGAAAUCAGGGAAACAAUAAAGAUAGGGUAGAAGGGGAUUUGAGGGAUUGCGAACGCCAGCUUCUCUACCUCAAGUCUCCGAAAAUAGUUGAAUUCGAGUAGUCUCUGCGACCAACACCAGUAUCUGCACAAGAAGUGCAGAAUGUAGCAUGAGUAUAACCGACUCCAUGUACUCUGUAAGUGCCGAGCCUAACCUCGACAAAGUAGUGACUAGGAAAUGGCUAGUCACUCACAAAUUACAUGUACGAAAUAAUAAUACCAAAAAAUAGGAAUAGAAAUAAAUAAGUAAACUCAUAUAAAUGAACUCCAAGGUCAACUACCAGAGGGUCCCAGAAUAACAUAAUCUCAUAUCAUAAUGCCGAGAAUAAGCUCUACAGACACAAACAACUACAACACACCAAGAUCGUUGCGGCAUGCAACCCGGUCCCACGUUUCAACAUAAUAUCUUUUACAACGUACAACUCAUUUCCAAUAUCAAAUCAUAUCAUUUCCUGUUCCGUUGCGGCGUGCAACACUAUCUCCCAAUAUUAAUUUAUUUUAGUACUGUUGCGGCAUACAAUCCGAUUCCCAAUAUCAAUUUAUUAACAUAAAUAACUCAACACCACUGUUUACGAGAUAUGAACAGAAAAGAGAAGGAAAUGCGCGGAACAUUAAAGAACUGCCAAUAGAAACGAAGAAUAUCCAACACCUCGUAAUCCCAAACCUUGACGAUUCAUCAAUACAAGAAUAGCUUAAUGGCUCACGUAAUCGAAAUAACAUAAUAGAACAUAAUAGAGUGCAUCAAGUAAUAUAAGGACAAUAAUAGCAAGUAAAAUCAUGUGAGAUUGAGAAUAUAUAAUUAAGGCAAAUAGGAAGAUGUAGCAGGUAAGCAGAGACUGACUGAAAAUGAGCAAAUCAAAACAAGAAUUAACAAGUAAAGAUUAGAUAUCAGUAAGAAUAUGUAGAAAUCAAAGCAUAUAACAAGAGAUAACAUGGAAUAAAUGAAGGCAUGGAAGUAAAUACGCGAUCCCACAUGUUUAAUCCCAUGACAGUGCAUAUACACUCGUCACCUCGCAUAUACGUCAUUUUCCCACAUAAUUUACAUAAGAAAUAGUCCAAUUAGUCCUAAUUCCCUCAAGCCAAGGUUAUACACAACACUUUCCUCGUUGCGCAACCAACUCAACAAUCACCCACAACUUUUCCUUUCGAACAAGCUGAUGGUAGGCUGUAAUCUUGUGUUUUAGUCUCUUUUUACAUUCUAAUUUACUGCACUUUAAUUGAGUUUGAGCGUUAAUUGCUAGUGUUUUGCACUAAUUAUGUAUUUUAUGCCUUAUAGGGGUGAUUCUAAGCUAUGUAGAUGUUAUGAAACUAAUUCGAGCUAAUUGGAGCUUUGAAGUCUAAGUAAAAGCACAAAGGAAUAAACUAGAAUCGUAUUCAGAGGUCGAGGAUCACUCCUAUAAUGUCUAAGAUGUGUCACAAACAAGUUAAAGGGUUUGGAUUGCUUUAUGUUUUCCUUUAACUUAAACAUUGUUAUGAUGAAUUACUCUAUAUCCAUGGAGUAGUUAUCUUUAGGGUUUGAUGGAUUUUGUGUAUUGAUACUUGUUUGUGGAUAACUAACUCUAGUUUUAUGUAUUGAAAUCGUUUUGGAUGUUUUAAUCGUUGCAUCUAUAUACACUUGUUAAUGUAAUCGAGAGAGGCAUAACUUGUGAGAUCUUUGCGUUAUAUUUUGUUGAUUGAUGUCUUAAAUUAUUCUUAGUAAUCGGAAGAGGCUAGUUGAAUUGUUGAUUAAACAUAGUUAGGAAAAUAAUCGAGAGAGGUUCUCCUAAAGACCAAUGCACUACGAAUUCUUGCAUAUAUUCACAUGCUUAAAAUUGGUUUAUCUUGUGAGGUUGAGACUUAAUCGAGAGAGGAGUUUCUACUAAUCAAUUGAACUAAUAACUAAGUAAAUUCGAGAGACUCACUUGAACAUUAGAAGUGAAUUAUCUAGAGUUAAAUCCCAAAUAUUUAUCUUGCACCUAUCCUAUAAACCUUAUUUUCUCCCAAUUGAUAACUUUCUUUGCUUAAUACUUGGGUUGAUUGUCAUUAGUCAAUAGUUUAGACUCUUAGUUAAUUCUAGUUUAAAUCACAUAAAUCUCAAUUGUUGAUCAUAUUAGAUAGCAAUAAAACUAUAAACUACGAUAAUAACUGUUUAACUCUAAUCCCUGUGGAUACGAUAUUUUAAAUUAUUAUAUUCGACUAGCGAGCAUAUUUUAGUGUAUGUUUUCGCUCGUCACAAGUCUCAAAGCCAACCAAAUCUAGCUAAAUAUCGUUCAAACAAUUCAAAAUAAGCUUUAGAAACUAUCCACAAGUGAAAAGCAUUCGAUCUUUAAUGAAAGUGAGAAAAGUCAACAAAAGUCAACCUCGGGGCCGCUUGGUCAAAAAUGGAGAUUCGGACCAAAACCCGAUUACUCAUUCACCCCCGAGCCCGAUUAUGUAAUUUUUUUUCAAAAUUCGACCUCAAUUUGAGGUCUAAAUCUCAAUUUUACAAAAUUUUAAAUCUUUAAUUUCUACAAUAGAAAUCCUAGAUUUGAUGUUAAUAAUACAUGAAAAAUAAUGGAAAAUUGAAAGAAAGUGGAUUAAAGUUCUUUCCAAUAAUUUUGGGAAGAAGAAAUUCUUGAAAAAUAGCUUCUAGAGUAUUUAGAGUUGAGAAAUGGUGUAAAAUGUGCUAAGUACCAUUUUCCCUCUUUUACCCAGUUGCAGAUGUCGCAAUUGCGAUAUCUUGUUCGCAAUUGUGAGCUCUGCAAAUGCGAAACACAGGUCGCAAAUGCGAACUGUGAGUCAGAAGCCCCGAUGUCGCAAAUGCGAUAAAUUUCUUGAAAAUGCGAAGGUACCCCAUCGCAAAUGUGCCCAAAAGCUUCGCAAAUGCGUAGCUCACCCAUGUUGCUUGUGAUCGCAAAUGCGACCAUUAUGUUUGCAAAAGUGAACAAUGACAGUUCGCACAAGCGAACCCAUUCCUCGUAAAUGUGAGGUCACCCAGCCCAGGCCCCUCUCGCAAAUGCGAGCCAUACCUUGCAAUUGCGAGAUCUACAACAGCCACCAGAAACAGGCAAUGCACCAGCAAUCCUCAAACUAUCCAAACUCAUCCGUAAUGCAUUCGAAACUCACCCGAGCCCCUCGGGCUCCAAACCAAAAAUCACACAAGUGUAAUAACAUCAUAUGAACUAGCUCACGCGAUUAAAAAACCAAAAUAACAUCCGGAACUACGAAUCAGAUAUCAAAACACAUGAAAUUCAAAAGGGAACUCAAGAGUAGCUAGAAACACAACCAAGCGUCCGAUUCCUAUCAAACCAACUGGGAAUUACACCAAAUUUUGCAGACACGUUUCAAAUAGAAAAACAGACUUAUUCCAAGUUCCAAAACCAAAAUACAACAUGAUAACCAUAAAGUCAACCUACGGCCAAACCUAGGGGAUUUCCAAACAUUCAAAUUGCUUACUUUUGGCAAAAUGAGUCAAAUCAACCUAGGGACCUCCGAAUUCAAUUCCAGGCAUACGCUCAAAUCCAAAAUUACAAUACCAACCUAUCGGAAUCAUCAAAAGAGCGAUCCGGGGUCGUCUACUCAAAAUGUUGACCGUACUCAACUCAAGUUAGUUUUAAAGCCAAAAAUCACAUUUUCUUGAAAUGUUAACGAUGGAAAUCACGUAAAAACUUUUGGAAAAAUUUCUUGGACCAUGCACACAAAUCAAGAAGUAUUAAAUGAAGCUAAUGGAGGUCUCAGAGCACAUAAAUAAAGGCUAAUUCUCAAAAUGACCUAUCAGGUCGUCACAAGAAAAUUAUAGGAUGAAUUACUUGGGAAAAUUACAGUUGCUUUGUCAUGUUUUGAAGAAGAAAAAAUUUUCUUUGUAUGAAUGGUUGUUAGUGAUAUAACCUUGACUUGCCUCUUUCGCUUCAGAUUACAGUUAUGCAUUCAUUCCUCGCACUUCUGCCUUUACCCUUAUGUGCAAAUACUAACUGGAUUUUCCCUUUUAUUUUGCAUGAGUACCCUGGGCCAAUGGAGUUCACUUUGAACACUAUUGUCCUCAUUGCGUUACUAUUACUGAUGUCUGCUGCUGAUUUUAAAUCGAUGGGUCUGAUUCUUUGUCAGCCCAUUACAAGAGUCUAGCCUCCUAACUUUAUAUCACUGCCAUUUAUUAGUCCCAGUUGUAUACUUGUGUUAUGAAACUAAUGCUAAUAUUAUAUGUUCUUAUCUUUACUUUGAUUGAUUACCUAGGAAAUAAUCUUAGUAUAAACUAAUCAUGUUGGACAUAAGGCAAACACAAGGUAAUAAGACUGACAGCUUGUAACUUGUGCACAUGAUAACCAUUUAAAGAGUUUUCAAUUGAUCAUUUAGGCAAAACUAGAAACGAAAUAUAUUGGAAGUAAGACACGGGGCAUUUGCAGCCAUACCCUGUAUUUAUGCCAACUUUUAACCUGUGUCCUAUUUUUAAAAAUGAUUGAUUUGGUAGCCAGCUGACAAAAAAACCGUAAUAAUAUGACAAUUACACCCCUGACAAAAGAUAUAAAAUCUACAUCAUGCAUUAAUCGCGUGAGAUCUCCUCCUCCUCUCACCUUGAGGCUAAAACUUCAUGCUAAUGUAGCAUGAAGUUGUUUCAUGUUGAAACUAAAAUUUCAUGCUAAUAUAGCAUUAAGUUGUUUCAAAUUGAAGCUAAAACUUCAUGCUAAUGCAUGCUGAAGUUAUUUAUCCUGCAGUCUAAAGUUUUGUCACGAGUUUUAUUCGAAACUUCAGUCUAAACAUGCUGAAGUUAUUUAGUUCAUUUGCUCAGUCUAAACAUGCUGAAGUUAUUUAGUUCAUUUGCUCAGUCUAAACAUGCUGAAGUUAUUUAGUUCAUUUGCUAAAACUUCAGACUAAAGAUGCUUAAGUUUUUGUCUUGCAGUAUUAAUUUUCUAAUGAGUUUCAUACCAAAACAUGCUGAAGUUUUGUCAUGCAGUCUACAGUUUUGUCAUCAGUUUUAUCCGAAACUUCAGUCUAAGCAAGCUGAAGUGUUUUAGUUCAUUUGCCAAAAUUUCAGACUAAACAUGCUUAAAUUUUUGUCUUGCAGUAUGUAAUUUUCUAAUUAGUUUUUUUUUAAUGCAUGCUGAAGUUAUUUAGUUCAUUUGCUAAAAUUUCAUACCAAAAUAUGCUGAAGUUUUACCCUGUAGUCUACAGUUUUAUCAAUAGUCUUUUAUUAAAGAAGGGCAAAAUCGUCUUUUUAAAAUGCUUUUAACAAAAAAAUGGGUACGGAUGCAAACAGAAAAAUAAAACGGGUAUAAGUUAAAAAUGGGCGAUCAAAUAGGGUGCCCCAUGCAAUUUUUACGUAAGACACGCAGGUAGAAUACAAUCUGGACCCGAUUUUCACAAAGAUAAAAAGUUAUUUUGGAAAUCGAAUAACCUUGCUCAAACAAUUCCUUUAAACACGGCUAAGGUAUACGGAUAUUUCGCACGUUAUUUUUAGUUUACAAAAGUUUAAGUAUUAUUAUAAACUCAUAUUUUGAUUACCUUUUGCAUCAGAAAGCAACUUUAAUUAUUUUGGAAGCAAUUUAUAGUAUAGUCUUUAAUUAAAUACUCCUUUACAAACUAUUUUUGAACCUGUUAUCUUUCAACAAAUUAACGCCUAAACACCUUAUAACUUUAAGAUUAAGGAACUACUUUAGUGUAGAUUUAUGCCUAACACCUUCCCCUUAGAAUAACCAGAACCCUUACCUAGAUUCUCACUAGUUUAGUGGACCAUCAGGAUGUUGAUCUUUAUCUGACAUAUAGGUACCUAGUAUACCUUUAAAUAUUAGGUGGCGACUCUUCUUUUAUUAACCUCAAAGGAACCAAAAGUUGUGUUUUGUUUUAACAUGUGCAAAUUAGGGUGCAACAAGAAAUAAUGAGUUGCACGAAGAGUUUUCCGUGCUUGUGAGAACGAGUGAUUGUGCACGAAGGGUGUUUUCGUGCUUUCUUUUUACAUAUCAAUAUCAUUGUAGGAAGGGUCUUACCAUGAUUGAGAGGAAAAGAGAAUAUGCGUGAAGGGUGCUUCCGUGCUUGUUAUUAUAUUGUGUUUGUGAUAAUGAGACUAAAAGUACGAAGGGUGAUGCCAUGUCUUUUGUUAGUAUUGUUUUUUCUUUAUUUUGCUAUACGGAUUGAGGAUAUGGCUAUGUUGCUUCAUGGUUAUCUUUGAAAGGUUUGUUCAGAGUUGCUUGUGGAAGCAUAAGUUGUGGUUUACUAUAGUAGUAUCUUCCUUUAUUUUAUCGUUCUAUAUCUCCUUAUUAUACUUGUUAUCUCUCUCACAUAUUAUCAUCUUUCUUGCUAUUUUACUUAUUAUCUCAUCUCAUUGUUUCUUGUUAUUUCACGUUAUUACUCGUUACAUAACUGUACAUGCUUAUAUGUUGGUGUCUUGUAUUAGCCUCGUCAGCCUUGGCUCAACACUUACGGAGUACAUUGGGUCAGUUGUACUCAUACUACACUUUCGCACUUCUUCUGAUGAUUUUAGUCCUAGUUUCGGUGUUACAUAGAGGAGAGACUAGCUAGCUGGUUGAGCAGACCCGAGGUAGUACUGCACUCUCGUUCGCAAGCCUUAGAUUCACCCAUGUCAUAUUUUUAUUACUCUUUAUUUAUUUCGAACAGUGUACCAUUAUUCCAGACUGUGUAUUUAGUUGAGUUUGUAGACGCUCAUGUACUCAGUGACUCUAAUUUCUGGGAGAUGUUAGAUGGUUAUGGGUUUCAGACUUGAUUUAGUUUUCCUGAAUUUUAUCUUUCAUUUAUAGUAUUUUGUUAUUUACGUUUUGCUUUUCCUUUAUUGUUGCUAUUGUUGGCUUGCCUAGCAAGUGGCGUUAGGCGCCAUCACGAUCCCCUUGGUUUGGAAUUUGGGUCGUGACAAGUUUCAGAGCACUAGGUUGCAUAUGUCUCACGAGUCAUGAGCAAGCUUGAUAGAGUCUUGAGGAUCGUUACACAGAUGUUUCAACUUAUCAUCUAGAGGCUACUAGGAAACUGUACUUUCUUUCUUUCUCUAUCGUGCGGCUUUGUUAUAUCCUAAAGUUUGAAUCUUCAAUCUCUUUUUCUCUCAAAGAUGGUGAGGAAAUAUGCUUCGACUGAAGGUGAUUAAGAGCUACAGCCCUAAAUUGCAGCCACUAUUAGGGGUAGGGGCUGGGGCAAGGGUAGAGGCAGAGACACAUGCAGAACUCAGCCUAGAGUGCACGCAGCAACACCCAAAGUCAUGCCUCAGAUAGCUCCAGAGGAGGAGAUUCCAAUUCAGGUCGAGCUGAUAGGACCAACUUAGGUCCCAGAUGGGUUCAUUGCUACGCAAUGCUUCAGGAUGCCUUAGUCUGCAUGGUCGGAUUCAUGGAGAGUAUGGCCCAGGACGGAGUAUUUCCCAUGGCACCAACCACUUCUCAGGCUGGGGGAAGAGUUCAGACUACCACUACACAUACCACAGAGCAGAUGGCCCAUGGUUAUCAGACCUUAGGAGUUCUACCCGUUGGGGUGGUUUGGUAUAUUAUAGCCGCACAGUCCGAUGAUAUGCCCACGGUGUCAGUUGAUGUGAAGAGGUUCGACAGGUUUACCAAGUUGUCUCCUCCACACUUUAGCGGUGCACCUUCAGAGGAUGCCCAUGACUUCUUGGACCGUUGCCAUGAGAUUUGCACAUCCUAGGACUAGUUGAGUCCAAUGGAGUUGAUUUCAUAGUCUUUCAAAUGCAUGGUUCAACAAAUAGGUGGUGGUAGGUUUUUUAGCUGGGCAGGCCAGCAAAAUCACCUCUUCUUACGGAGGCUUAGUUUUCAUAGUUGUUCUUAGUGAACUUUAUUCCCCUCACUCAAAGAAAUGAGCUACGCAACCAGUUUGAGCGCCUUCAUCAGGGUAGCAUGAUCAUCACCUAGUAUGAGACUAGAUUUUUUUAUUUGUCUUGCCAUGCAGCUAUCCUGAUUCCUACUGAGAGGGAGAAGGUGCAGAGGUUCAUAGAGGGUCUUACCCAUGGCAUCAUGCUCCAUAUGGCUAGAGAGGCUGAGACCAAGACUUCUUUUACUCAGGUACUAGAGAUUGCCUGGAGGAUUGAGCGCAAUAGAGGUCAGGUGAGAGAGACGACCUCUGAUAAGAGGCCUCAUCAUUUUGGUGGUUUAAGUGGUGCCUCGUCAGGAGGAAGGGGUUCCUUGGAUAGAGUCAAUUCUAUCAGGCUGGUAUAGUUAACACUACAAUGUCACACAUGGCACAUCAAGCAGCCAUAGUGCUUAUGGACCUCAUUCCGAGCAUCUAGCAUUCAGUGCAUCUCUAGCUCCUGCUAGUGCACCUCCAAUAAAGAGUUACCAUGGUGGUUAUUCGGGUUGUCAAGUACAGCUCCAGGUUCAGCAAUCACAUUAGCAAAGGGCUUGCUAUGUGUGUGGGGAUUUGAGUCAUAUCACGAGGUUUUGCUCUAGAUCACAGAGUAGUAUGACACAACAGUGUACUCAUGCCAUAAUUCUGGUACUGGUUUCUACACCACCUGCUCAGUCAGAUAGAGGAGGGGGUCAGGUAGCCAGAGGUGGAGGCUAGCCAAUUAUAGGUGGAGGCUAGUUAGUGAGAGGUCAUCCUAGAGAUGGAGGACAGGUUGGUGGGGCUUAGCCCCAUUGUUAUGCAUUCCCAUCUAGGCCUGAGGCGGAGUUGUCCGAUGCAGUUAUUACAGGUAUUAUCUUAGUCUGUCAUAGAUAUGCUUCGGUGUUGUUUGAUCCGAGUUCUACAUAUUCUUAUGUGUCUUCAUACUUUGUAUCCCACUUGAGUAUGCCUCGUGAUUCUCUUUAUGUUCCUGCUUUUGUGUCCACGCCCGUUGGGGAUUCUGUAGUAGUAUAUUAAGUGUACUGGUCUUGUGUUGUUACUAUUAAUGGUUUUGAUACUAUGAUCUCUUGUUGUUGGAUAUGGCAGAUUUUUGAGGUUAUUCUAAGUAUGGAUUGGUUGUUCCCAUAUCACGCCAUCUUAGAUUGUCAGGCCAUGAUUAUAACUUUACCAUGUUGGGGUUGCCCAAAUUAGAGUGAAGAGGGACCCCCAUUCAUUCUACUAGCAGAGUGGUCUUAUUUUCGAAGGCUUAGCGUAUUGUUGAGAAGGGGUUCUUAGCAUAUUUGGCUUGCAUUCACGAUUCUAGUGCAGAGGUUCUUUCUAUGGAUUUAGUGCGGAGGUUCUUUCUAUGGAUUUAGUGUGGGCUGUGAGGGAGUUCCCAGAAGUAUCUCCUACAUAUUUAUCGGGCAUGCCACCUGACAAGGAUAUCGAAUUUUGCAUUGAUUUGGUUCUGGGAACUCAACUAUUUCUAUCCUACUGUACCGUAUGGCUCUAGCUAGUUCAAAGAAUUGAAGAAUUAGUUGCAGUAUUUGCUUGAUAAAGGAUUUAUUAGACCGAGUGUUUCACCUUGGGGCGUGUCAAUGUUGUUUGUUAAGAAGGACGGAUCGAUGGGGAUGUACAUCGAAUAUCGACAGUUGAACAAGGUUACCAUCAAGAAUAUGUAUCCGUUACCUAGGAUUGAUGAUUUGUUUUACCAGCUUCUGGGUACCAAGGUAUUUUCCAAGAUUGAUUUGAGAUCGGGCUACCAUAAGGUGAAGAUUAGGGCAUCAGAUACUCUUAUGAGAGAUUUUAGGACCCGAUAGGGUUAUUAUGUGUUUCUUGGUGAUAUCAUUUGGUUGACUAAUGCUCCAACAACCUUCGUGGAUUUGAUGAACCGAGUGUUCAAGCCUUACUUGGAUUCCUUUGUGAUUGUUUUUAUUGAUGAUAUUCUAGUUUAAUCUCAUAGUAGAGAGGGGCAUGAGCAACAUUUACGGAUUGUACUUCAAACUUUGAAGGACCGCCAACUUUAUGCCAUGUUUUUGAAGUGUGAGUUCUGGCUAGACUUAUUUGCCUUCUUGGGACAUGUUGUGUCUUGUUAUGGUAUCAAGGAUGAUCCUAAGAAGAUUGAGGAAAUUCAGAGUUGGCCACGACCUACUUCAGCUACAAAAAUUCGGAGCUUCGUGGGUUUGGCGGGCUAAUAUCAUCAUUUUAUGGAGGGUUUUUAUCUAUCGCAACCCCAUUGACCAAGUUAACUCAGAAAGGCGCUCUUUUCAGAUAGUAUUAUGAGUGCAAGGAGAUCUUUCAGAAGCUCAAGACUGCCUUGACUACAACCACAAUAUUAGUGUUACAUAGCAAUUCAGGGCCUUAUACUAUAUAUUGUGAUGCUUCACGUAUUGGACUUGGCGCAAUAUUGAUGCAGAAUAGUAGGAUGAUUGCCUAUGUGUCUCAUCAAAUGAAGAUCCAUGAGAAGAAAUAUACUAUGUAUGAUUUGGAGCUGGCAUCUAUUGUACACGCGCUCAAGAUUGGAGGCACUACUUGUACGACAUGUUGAUGAGUAGUGAUUUUACCACUUAUUUUAGUCUCUUUUCUUUAAAUUUUAUUUCGUUUAAUUAUAAGAUGAGGUAAUUUAUGGUAUGCAUUGCUAAAUUUUUAGGUACAAUGAGUCUUGAGGAGAAUUGAAAUCAAAUAAAGUGGAAUUGAGCAAUAAAUAGUUGAAGAAGUGCAAAAAUUGGUUCGAGUGGUUUCGCACCUGCAGGGAAAUUUCCGCUUCUGCGGACUCGCAUCUGUGACUACCUGUCUGCAUCUGUGAAUGGGAGCUGUUACACUGAUAUCACAUUUGCGAGUGAAUUCCCGCAUCCGCGGAGGUGCUUCUGCACAAUAUGUCUGCACCUGUGUGUGCACUUCUGCGCUUCAGAGUCCGCAUUUGCGGUGUAGCCAAUUUCCACAAGACUCGCAUAUGCGAUGAUUCCUCUGCACGUGUGGUUAAUGGGCUUUAGAUCUAGGUAGAUUUGCCAUUUCACAAUAUCCUGAUUAAUUUCACCUCAUGAUGUCCAAAUCCACACCUCAAAGAGUAAGCGGACACGGUCGCAUGCACUAUAAUUUACCCAACUAUGAGUCCGGGUCGAAUUCCACAGAGAACAAUAUGUAGGUGAUUAGGAAAAUAAGAGAAUUAUCUCUUAUUUUGCUAAGCCAAACACUAAUAAAGGUGUUUUGAGAAAAUGUUAUAACUAAAUGCAAAAAUAUAAACUAACCUUGAAAGCAAGUAAAAUGAUCAAUUGCUAAAAGCAUGGAUACAUAGGGAAUUAUACUCAAGUAGCGAUCCAAUGUAUUUCAUGAUUUUACAAAUAUGAGUGAGUUUAUGUUAAUUAGCGUCGGAUAAUAGUUUUAUAUUAGCUUAUUUUAAAGGCUAAUAAGACUUCCUAAUUUAAUUAUCCCUAAAAUAAUUAAGAGGAUUAAGUUCACCCGAAUAUGGCUACAAGUAGUUCAAUCCUAUCCCUAGGUAGUAUCUAUAAAAUAAGGGUUAACGCUUCAAGUUAUUGUUAAUUAAUAUUUUUCAACCCCAACUUACCUUUACCAAGUUUAAUUCAAAGUUAAUGGGCGAGUCCUAGGGUGAGCUAAUCUCUUUGAAAACAUUAAAGAACAAGAAUAAUUAAAGAAACAAUUAACUCACUUCAAUAUUAAUGAAAAUCAUUCAAUACAUAAGCACAACAAGAGGUUUAAUUCAAACUUUUAUAAUGAAUAUUCCCAUAAAAGGGAUUCAAGUAAUGGAAUAAAUACACCACACUUAGAUAUUCAAUACAAAGCAAGAAAAUGAAGAAAUGAGUAAAAAUGGGCAAGAAAAUCUCAACCAAAGUCUUCAAAUCUUCAACUCCCAAGUGUGUGUGCAAGAACCCUAGCUCCAAGUUUGUAUUUUUGUCCAAGGAUAUGCCAGAGACAGCCAAAGAUGUGUUUCAAAUGAUCUUGGUCGUGUAUUUGGGGGUUUGAGAUAAAGAGAAUGUGAAAUGCCAAGUCUGUCCAGAGCCGAAGCCUGUUGGCCGCACCUGCGGAAGAAUCAUCGCAGGUGUGGCUCCGCAAAUGCCGAAUUUUACUUGUAGAUGCGAGUCUUGUGGAGAACUGGCUACUCCACAGGCAGACAUGUCUCGUCAGAAGCGGCUUCGCAAAUACGUAUUUCUAGCGCAGAUGCAGAUGGCCAAACGCAGGUGCGAUCCCAGUGGAAUAUUGGCAAUUCUGCAGAUGCGGGCAUCUUCUCUUAGAUGCGAACAGUGUUCCGCAUAAGCGAGAUCACUGAAUGUAUUUUCACCUCUUCAACUCACUUUUGCUCAAUUCCAUUUCAUUUGAUUUCAAUUCUAUUCAGGACUCAUUGUACCUGAAAAUCUAAUAAUGCACACCAUAAAUUACCUCAUCUUAUAAUUAAACGAUACAAAAACUAAAGAAAAGAGACUAAAAUAAGUGGCAAAAUCACCACUCAUCAACACCCCCAAUUUAAACUUUUUGCUUGUCCUCAAGAAAAUCAAAACCAAAAAUUCAAUGAGGCUCAACCAUUUAAAGCACAAUUAGCAUCACCGUUAUUUCCAAAUCACAUUUUCCAAUUAAGCACAACUUUUAUGGUUUGGUUGGUACUAAUAAUUGGGCUAUAAACAUGUGAACUUUAAUUAAAUAACUCCCUCAUUUAAAAACACAACCUCAAGAAUGCAAUUCAGUUUCAAAAUAAUCAAGUGAUAACAACCAUGCCUCAAGAAGUGACUUAAAAGCACUAGUCUACUAAAUAUGCUCAUUUUACUCAAUUUGGAAUAUAUUAAUGUCACCAAUCCAUCAUAAUCCAUAUUUUCUUACAAAAACGAAAGUCCCAAAAUCACCAUAUUUACAACAAAUACACAAGGGACAAAUGCACAAAGCCACUCACUCUCAACAUAAAAUUUCAAGUGUUAACAAAUAUAAUGCCAUAAGCUUGCCCUUAUUUUAUUUCGCCGCCAAUUUAAGAACAUUCGAUUGGAGAUCCCAUAAGGACUUUUUAAGCAUGUAAUGUAGGCUUAGAGAAGGGUAGGAUAAGAAUUUGGGAUAAAAGUGACUACACCCUCCCUGAACACUACUCACAUUUGUCUUUCUUUUUGCACUUUGCUUUUUAAAAAAAUACAUAGCCCUUAUUGACCUCUAGUUGCCAACAUUGAACCACCUUGAAUUUCGUAACUACCCUCUAGUUGUGCUUCCUUUCUAAUUUUCUCAAGACUCCCCUUGUUUUAUAUAAAUAUGUUUUUGCAUUUGUUUUGGAUCUUGAGUGUUUUCAUGUUACACAACUUCGAGGUAUUUGCUUUUACACACAAUAUGCAUCUUCACCAUUUACCAAUUGACACUAACACCCCUAACUUAGACUUUUAGCCUCAUUCAUAACAUUCAAAAAAGGACGGGUUCAAAAGAGAAAAUUAUUUCACAAAAGGGUAAAGGUUUGUAAUGUAGUAGCCAAAAAAAGGUUAAAGUCUCAAAUGGGGUUAACUAAUGAUAAUAUUUAUGCAAUAGAACUACGGUCGAAAGGCUAAAGAAGUUUUUUCAAAGAUCACAAAGAAUGUCUAAGGUCAUCCCUCCAACUAAACAUAAUUAAGAUUAGCAUUAAAAGAUCAACCAGGCAAGUUCUAGAUGAUAAAAGUAAGUACAAGAAUGUAUUAACAAAAACUAACACACAUGGCACAUGAACUAGUCAAGAUGGAUCAAUUCCACUUAUUAAUAUGAAAAACUAGAUCAAUAUCAUGCCAACUAGUGGGCAAUGAGUCACAAAAUGAGCCAAAAAGUUAUCACAAAAAUUAUUCUUUCCCGUGCCUUUUACUUUUUCAAAUUUUCAACAAACAGCUUCGGAGGGGUAUUCUCAAUUCACAUCUCACAUGAAAAAUACUAAUUUUAUUAUUAUCAAACAAUCCAAAAGUCAUACUUAAACAAGACUCAUUCCCUUAAGAAAGCUGUCACGCUAUCCGUAAUACAAAAAAGUCACUCGGUUCAACACAAAAAUAUUCCUCGGGAAAGAACUGUGGCAUAAAUAAAACCCAAAGAGAUUUAUUGACAAGUAUAUUACUACUAAAUAAAGAAAAAUAAAAUAACUAAAAACUACUAAAGAAAAUAAAAUAACAAAAGUGACUAAUUCGCAAAUAUAUCACCAAUCACAAACUAAGCCCGACAAGGGCAUAUGAUCAUUCACAAUAGUAAAACAGUUCUGACAAGGGAACAAAUUAUCCAUACAAAAUCAUAAGCCCGACAAGGGCAAAAGUCAAGCAUAGAUGUACAAAUAAAGUAUACUUCCUAAUUUCACCCCAGAUAAAAACAAUGCAAUGUCCUUACUGCAUAAUAUCAUAAUAAAAUAAGAGUUGUUUCAGGGUUUCCUUGAGGUCUGCAUCAGACUAGCAAAUUACAGGAAAAGGCUCAUCACUGCUAUGUAGAGCUCUGGGCCUCAUCAUCACCGGCAUCAUCCAACAAGAAAGAAUACUAUUAACUAUUAUCGUCGUCUUUAAUCGAUAUCUUCUUGUUCGGCUGCCCCCAUUUGAAUAUGGCCUUGAUGCCUCUCCACAUCUUUACCAUGAACUUGCCUUUAUUCUUGUUUUUCUCUUUCUCCUUCGUGAAUUCAACUUGAAGAUCGAUAUGUGCCUUGGCCAUAUGCCUGUAAGCUACCUCAAGCCUGCUAACAGAAGUUGCUAACUUCUCCUGAGACUCCGCCUGCUUUUUCUGAGCCUCCAAAUAGAUCUUCAUUUCAUCUCUAGUAGUCAGAAAUAGGUUGGGAAUGCGAGGGUUCCACUAGGGAUCUGUGACACUAAGUCAUGAAUGGACACAAGCUGGAAAUUAAGCAUCCCAAAUGGUCCCUCGGGCAGUGUUUCCUGUGAGGACUCUGAUCCGACAACUGUGGUGAUUUUGCGCUUCUUACUCUUUAUUGCAUUACCCUCUUCUGUUACUCUUAACGGAUGCAAGGGUUUGUCGGCCAGUAACCAACGAUCGGUGCUACGCACAUCAACAUCUGCCCACCGGCACAACUCUGUGAUCAACAAAGGGAACAUCAAGCGUGGACUAUUUUGUAGAAGGUACUCUGUCAGCUCCUAAAUGAUAUAAUAACCGACAUUCACAAGAAUUCCAUCAAGUAUGCAUGCAAUCAUCAGGGCUCUGACAUAUGGAACAACAGAGAUAUUACUAUAAAGUGAAACUCUGCUACAGAUUAUGUACAACCACAUCUUGGCCUCAGCUAUGAAAUUAAUGGAUUUUAAGCCCUUCAUCUUGUUGGUCCAGUUCACUCACUUGUCUGAGAGAUAAAGUUGAGACACUAGCCAAUCUCCAUUGGAGCAUGUAUCUUUUUCUCACAUCGGCUCAAGUGGAUGGCUUGGAAGCCCAUAGAUAUCAUUAAUUUGCUCAGGUCCAAAUCACAUUGUUUUGCCCUUUAUGAUGUGUUCUGGGUUGUUGAAGUUUGUACGCUUAAGAUUUGCAUAGAACUCGUGUACCACUUCCUCAUUGGCAUCGCACGGAGUAGGCAUGAAACAAGUCCAAUAAGUGGUUUGUAGAUGGCCAUUGAAAUCUGGAAGUAGCUCGACCAAUCUUUCCCCGGAGAUCCCUUAUUCAAGUAGGACCUUCUUUGUAAGAAGGUUGUCACGGUAUCGGCGAUGAAAAUCAGCGGACAUGAAAUGAUCAGUGUCAUACUGCUCUUCCACAACAUCUACUUCAAUUUCAAGGUCAUGUGCCGUAUUUUCGUUCAUGUUUGGGUCCAAUUUUGAAGCUCAAAAUACCUAAAAAUCAAAACCAAGUUAGUCGGGCAUUAUAAUCAUGUUAAGCAAUUCAAAACACUGCAAUUAGGCUAAAGAAUCAAAGUCUAAAGGGCCCAACAAGCCAUAUUCUCAAAGCUACUAAUUUUGCAUUUUCUGCCCAGUCAUCGCACCUGCAGAAAAAUCAUCGCAGGUGAGAUUCUGCUUCUGCGAAAGUUUUCUGCUUCUGCAUUCUUUCACUACUCAGUUGAUUCCACACCUGUGGAAAAUCAUCUCAAGUGUCGGGCCACAUCUGCAGCCUUUUUUUCGCUUUUGCGGUGUUCAUGAGAAUUUUCAAAGCACAAAAACUGCCAUCUUUUUAAAAUUCAAAUAACUUCUUUAGCACAUAAUUUAUACUCAAGAUUUCUAAAUUUUUUGCACUACAUGAUUACCCGACUUGAUUACACAUGAUUUCAAGGCACUUAGCACAUACAUUUCUCUUGGACAAAUCCUCGAACACUUAGCAAGCAACGAGAGAGUUUUGAUUCCUAAAAGUAAUUAGGUACUCAGACUUUCCCAUUUUGUGGUUGAACAACACCAAGCACACACAGCUAAGCUCAACCAAUUUUCAUCACCCCUAAAACUAACAUUUAUAUAGAGGGGAAAAGGGAUUGUGGGAAAACAACUAUGGAGAAGAAGUAGAAAAAACAAUAAGAGAAGAAGAAAAUAUAAAUAGAAGAGGGAGAGAGAGGAAGAGUGUAGGUGAGUUUCUUGUGUGUGAGCAAGAGAAUGCGAGCAAUAGAGUGAUAAGAGUAGUUGUGUGCAAGAGAUGGGAAGAGUUAGAGUUUGGGAGAAGAGGGUUUAAAAUUUUACCAAUUGAAGAAGGGAUGGUUGUUUAAACUUACCUGACGAGCCGCAUCUGUGAUGUUUAGAGCGCUUCUGCGGAGCCGCUUAUGCGAUAAGCAGACCGCUUUUGCACAAAACGCGCAUCUCCGAUCUUUUUCUCGCUUUUGCAGUUCCGCAUCUGCGUGAUUAUUUUUGCAGAUGCGGUUGCCCCAGAAAUCUGAUAGACAUAACUGUGUAGCACUAUUUUGGUAUGUUUCCAACAUCGCAAACUUCUUAAAUCAACUCCAAAAAAUAUAAAACUUGGCCGAUUAGUCAAAAAUAAUAUAGUAAACUAUUCUACAAAAAAGAAAAUUUAAAAAUGACUUAAAAAUUUAAAAAUGAUGGGUAUAUGCUUAACCAAUGUGCGAUCGCAUGCAUGGUCUCAUAACCGUUCUGCGGUCCGCAGAAUUGACCUUCAACGGCAUUUUUGAGCGACAUUUUCAUAGGAACUUUGACUAUUUCCCGACCAAUAUGAUGUCUGCAUAACCAUUAUGCGGUCGCGGUUUUGGCUGCAGAAAAGCAACUGAAGCUUAGCUACUUUUUCUUCACUUUCUCUACGCUCUAAGACAGACACAUCAAAGUGUUCAACAACAACAAAUAAACCUACAAAAACAAAAAUCUAACAGAAGAAUUUCUAAAAAUUGAAAAUUUUAAAAAAUUACUACAAAAUCAAAAACAAUGGGUUGCCUCCCACCAAGCGCCACAUUUAACAUCGUGACACGAUGCAAAUCAACUUUAUCACUUUUUUCGCCACUUGGAGGAUAUGAAUUAGGCACCUAACUUGGACUCAAGUUUGUGACCACGAGCGGCGGGGGUGGUAAGUGAUGAUCAAGCCAAACAUCGAUUUCAUCAUUUUGCAUUUCUUGGCUUUCUUUAGAGAAAUGUCAUUUUGCAUUCUUGAACUUUCAAAUUGUAAGAGGUAUGGAUCUUGUCUUCCUUAUUUUCACUCCCACAUGAAAUCACAUGGCUCAAUUUCCAUAUCACCAUAAAAUUUCAAAGUUGAAAAAUGUUUAGAAUGAGAUAACAACCUCCCAACUUUCAGCCUUUUCCGUAUUUUGACAUUCUCUUUUCCCCCCGAACUAGAGUCAAUUUCGACCAUCUUCUCAAUUACGCCAGUUGACUCUAAUUCUAUUUUUUUCUUGGAAUCACCAAUAAGCAUGGAGUCGGUUGGCGAAUGUUCAAAUCUUGAUUCAAGCUCCCAGCCAUUUUUUAGACUAUUUUCCAAAAUCUCCUCUAAGUCUUUUUGCUCUUUGUUUCCUUCUUCAAGUAGGCACUUCAUCAUGAGUUUGAACUCUCCGCUUUGCCCAUGAUCAUUUUCUUCCGCUUUGAAAGCCCUAUAAAUAUCACAACCAAGAAUAGAAGCAUCAUAGUGGGGGUUCGGGGAGGGGAAGAACAAACAAGCACAAUUGCCCAAAUGACCAUUUUGACCACCACACCUAUCACACAUACUCCACUCAUGGGUUUGAGAUUGUGCGCACAAUCCGCCCGUGGGAGAAUUUAAGAAUUUUUAUCACGAGUGUGGUCCUCCACAAUAAAGACAAGGGUCAUCAAAGUAUGAACAACCACCAUCCGACUAAUUUUUAUUAUGUGAUGCCAUUUUAAAAAACUACAAAAAUAAACAAGAAAAUAAAUGAGGUAAGAAAACUAACUACAUAAAUAUUCACAAGUUUGGAUAAAAGCACGUACACUUACUUCUCAAACAACCUAAAUGCGCCAAAAUGUUCCCCGGCAACAGCGCCAAUUUGGAUGACGUCCAAAUCUACUUCUCAAAGAGUGAGCAUAAAUGAUCUUUGGAAGUUUUUGAAAGGAAAUAAAAGCUUUGGAGCUAGGGUUCUUGCAUACACACUUGAGUAUUGAAGAUUUGAAGUCUUUGGAUCAUAUUUUCUUACCCAUUUUUACUCAUUUUUUUAUUUCCUUGUUUUGUAUAGAAUAUCUAAGUGUGGUGUUUUUAUUCCAUUACUUGAAUCUUAUUUAUAGGAAUAUUCAUUAUUAAAGUUUGGAUUUAAUCUCUAGUUAUGCUUAUGUAUUGAAUAAUUUUUAUUAAUAUUAAGGUUAGUUAUUCUUUCUCUAAUUAUUCAUGUUCUUUAAUGUUUUCAAAGGGAUUAGCUAACCAUAGGACUCGCCCAUUAACUUCGAAUUAAAUUUGGAAAAGGUAAUUUGGGGUUGGGAAUGAUUAAUUAACAAGAACUUGAAGCGUUAAUCCUCAUUUUAUAGAUUCUACCUAGGGAUAGGUUGAACUACUUGUAGUCAUAUUUGGGUGCACUUAAUCCGCUCAAUUGUUAUAGGGAUAAUUCAAGUAGGAAGUCUUGUUAGUCUCCAGAAGAAGCUAAUAUGGAAUUAUUAUCUGAGGCUAAUUAACAAAAACUUUCUCAUAUUUGUAAAAUCAUGAAAUACAUUAGAUCGUUACUUGAGUGUAAUUCUCUGUGUAUCCAUACUUGUAGCCAUUGACUAGGCCAGUCAUUUCGAGUAUUUUAGCCUUGUUUCCCCUAUUUUAUGCCCUAUUUAUGUGUAAUUAUAGUUAUGUGACUUGGUGGGGUGGUUGGUUUGGUUUCGGAGAAGUUUUGGAAUGAAUUGGGACACUUAGUCUCAAGGUUGGAAACUUAAGUUGUAAGAGUUUUUCGGAGUUUGACUUUUAUGUAGAAGACUCUGAAAUAGAGUUUUGAUGGUUUCAAUAACUUCGUAUGGUUAUUUUGGACAUAGCCGUAUGUCCGGAUGUGGAUUUGGAGGUCCGUAGAUUGAUUUGGUGUGUUUUGUCAAAAAGUGGAAGUUAAAGGUUUGGAAGGCUGAGAGGUUUGACCGAGAGUUGACUUUGUUGAUAUCGAGUUCAAAUUUUGGUUCUAGGAGUUGGAAUAGGUCCGGUGUAUCAUUUGGGAAUUGUGUGCCAAAUUUGAGGUCAUUCGGAGUUGAUUUGAUAUGGUUUGACAUGCGUUUUGGAAGUUGAAAGUUCUUUAGUUUCAUUAGGCUUGAAAUGGUGUGUGGUUCAUGGUUUUGAUGUUGUUUUAUGUGAUUUGAAGCUUCGAGUAGGUUCAUAUUGUGUUUUAGGACUUGUUGGUAUGUUUGGAUGGGGUCCCGAGGGCCUUGGGUAUGUUUCGGGUUGAGAUUCGAUCAAUUGUGGAGGGUGUUUUGCAUAUGCGGAGGGUUUGCCCGUAGAUGUGGAGCCACAGGAGAGGCCAUUUGCACGCAGGUGCUAGGUAAGGUGGAGUCUGGCUGGGAGCGUAGGUGUGAGGGUAUUUUUGCAUCUGCGAGCCCGCAGAUGCGGACAAGUGAGCGCAUAAGUGAAACUAGACGGAAGCUUGGGAGUCCUCAGAUGUUGACAUUGGAUCGCCGAAGCGGUCCCGUGGGUGCGAAAAGGGAUCACAGCUGCGCAUGGUCGGGACUUAAAUGGAUAUCACAGAUGCGAGAAUUGCAGCGUCGCAGGUGCGACUUAGUGGACCGCAAAUGCGGUUUUACUGGUAGACUUCAUAUAUUCGAGGGUUUGAGUGUUUUUCUUAUUUUUGGAUUUGUGGAGGUCGUUCCAAGACGAUUUUUGGAGUGAUUUUCAUCCUAAUUGAUGAGGUAAGUAAAGUUUGUGAUCACUUUUGUUGAUAUAUAUUGCUUACCCAUUAAUUUUUAUAUCUAGUUUAUGUGAAUUUAAUGUGAAAUUUGGGGGUUUUAGACUAUGUUGUUGGAGAGUGAGAUUUGACGGUUUGGGGGUCGAUUUUUGCUUGGAAUUCAUUGAAGUUGGUAUGGUUGGACUUAUAUUUGAAUGGGUGUUCAGAAUUAGUGAAUUUAUUCGGGUUCUGGGGUGUCGGCCCGGGGUUGACUUUUUUGGGUUGACUUUGUGAUUUUGAUGAAAGAUCUUAGCUUUAUCAGUUGGAAUUGGUUCCUACGACUUUUAUUGAUUAUAUUAAGUUAUUUUGGCUAGAUUCGAGCCGUACGGAGGUUGAUUCACAUGGGAAGGGCUUGUUAGAGGAGUGAUUUGGCUUGCUUGAGGUAAUCUUACCUAAACUUAGUUGAGGCACUAGUUGCUUGAAUUAUUUAUGAUAUUUACGUGAUAUGGGUGCGCAUAUGUGUGGGGUUUGAGCCCAUGUGCGAGCACCGAGGUAUUUAUCUAUGCUCUAGGUAGUGCUUAUGCUAUGACAUGCCUUGAAUUGAUUGAUAAGCUUUAUGCUGCAAUGUUUCUCAUAAUUGUAACCCUAUUGUGAACUAUUUGAUCCAUGUUUGAGGUUACACAAAGGCUAAUACCCUAAAUGAACUUGAUAAUUGCUAUUUACGAAAUGAAACUAUUGAUUUGAGCUAUGAUAGCACAAUUUGCACAUGCAUACACCUUAGCAUGUCAAUUUUACCAGUCCAGGAGCAUGAAAUAUAAUAUUCAUUGAUCAUAUACAUGUAUUCUUGUAUAUUUGCUUCUUUGUGAUAUGAUUUGGACUGAAUGCCUGUGACCACGCCGGGCAGAUUGCGUUGUUAUGCCUAUGACUACGCUAGGCAAAUAUGUGAUAUUGAGCCUGUGACCACGCUAGGCAGAUUAUGAUAUAUAGCCUGUGACCACGGGCGAAGUAUGAUUAUUGCACGUGACCCCACCGUGUAGCGUAUGGAUAUGGAUCCUUCCCCCUAGGGUUACCCUCUCAUGUUUCUCUCUUGAUGGUGUACACGUGGAUUGAGAAAAAUUGAUCAGUGGUUUGGUAGUGUAUUGCAAAUUCCAAGGAAAAUUUGGCUAGUGUUGUUGGUUAUUGCAUUUCAUCUUUACUUGCCAUUUCCAUGAUUAUUUACCUAAUUUACUUGUAUAUCAUCUUUGUAUGCUUAAUUAUCGACUGAGCAAAGAACUUGAUAAACUGUGUACACCAGGGUUGUUCUUUCUGUGCUUUAUGACUUGAUCAUGUUAUCGUUCUAUACUUGUUGCAUUCAUGAACUGUACAGGUUAUAACGAGUAUCAUUUAUAAUUCCUGUUGCUUUUACCACGCCGAGGUUAGUUAUGAUACUUGAUGAGUACAUGGGAUCAGUUGUACUCAUGCUACACUCUCUACUUAAUUGUGUAGAUCUAGGUGUCGGAUCCAGUCAUCGAUAGCGGACUUUGCUAGCUGAGUUGAUCACCAAGAGAUGAGGUAGAGCUGCAUUCUCGACCACAGUCUUGGCGUCUCUUUCUAUAUUGUACUAUUGUCUUUAUUUCAGACAAUAUUGCUAUUUAUCUUUCAGACUUGUAUUCUCCAUUGUUAGAGCUCAUGCCUUUGUAUUUACCAGUUAUGGGGGAUUUAUCAUGCAUUGGCAUUACUAUGCUAUAUUAAGGUUUCAUGCUUAUGUUAUUUCUAUCAUUUCUGCUUUUAUGGUUCAUUAUUGUCAUGUUCGGCCUGCCUAGCAAGUGUGUUAGGUGUCAUCAUGACUGGUUAUGGUUUUGGGCCGUGACAAGUUGGUAUCAUAUCCUUAGUUUAAGGAUAUGUUACGUUGGUUCUCGGCAAGUAAGUCUCGGGUGCCCGUCGCGGACCUCCGAUUUGGGUCGUGACAAACAUGGUAUCAGAGCAGGUCUGUCCUAGGGAUGCCUAUAAGCCAUGUCUAGUAGAGUCUUAUUUAUAGGUGUGUUGCAUGCCACACUUAUAAACAAGAGGUUGCGGGACAUUUAGGAUGGUUAUCUUCUUUUCAUGUUAUAGAUCGUGCGAAAGAGCUGAGUUGUAGGGAAUCGAGUGUAGCGUAUGCGUUGAUGUAGGUUGUACAAAGAUGUCAUUGCCCAGAAGUGUUGCAGCUAGUCAGGAUGUUAUGGAAGGAAUGGGAGGGGGUAUUAGACGUACGUCCUCUAUUGGGAUAGAUCCAUUUGGGGACCAGGGUGAGUCACUCCCUCAGAUAGCCCCGGUUCCACUAGUACUAGAGGAGCCGAUGGAGGCUCCAGCAUCACCAGCUCUACCAGUUCCACCACCGGCUGAUCGGGAUGUAAGAAAAGCAAUACAAGUAUUGAUGCACUUGGUAGCCUCUCAGUAUUGGCAUCACCCAAGGGCCCCUAAUAGUGAUAGGGCCCUUGACGGGUCAGGAAAUUCACAACCUAAAGAGUUCAGAGAGCGAGAGCUGUCUAUAUUUCCAAGAGAUGAUUCCGAUGAGGUUAGGGGAUGGACCAAGAAGGCCAGGACAAUUGAUAAUUUCAGAUGACUGCUGGGUGCUGGUAGGUUACAGCAGACUAGAUUUGCACAGUGGCUUGUACAUGAUCAGAGUUCUCAGGUAAGACCAAGGCUAGGUUUGCUGACGUCAGUAUGUUAGGAUCGUGCUAGUACAGGUAGAGUGGAACCGCCCCGGCCAUUGUGUCGUUAGUGUUAUCGGGCUCAUGCCUAGCCACGUCGUGUAGGUACGGGGGGUUGUUGUUAGUGUGGUAGGAAGAUCCACAAGAUAUAUAUGUAUCCAACACUUAAGUAUAAAGACCAAGAUAGGAGUGAAGAUGGAGCGUCGGGCUCCAAAUGUUACCUUUAGAGUACAGAUACAUGGCCCAAUCUUCUUUUAGUUCAUGCUGACUAGUAGAAUGUUACCCGGUAGUGCGGGAAAGCUCAGAUAGAUAAUUUAUGACCCUUAUGGAUAAAUCAUUAUAUAUGAAAAUGUAGUAAAGAUAGACGAUAAGCACAACAUGCGAAAGAUAUCAUCGGGGAGGUACUACAGCUUCUGCUUUUAACAGAUAAGUAAAGCAAAAUUAGACAAAUAAAGAAUGAGGCCAGUUAGAAUCAAGGAUGUUUUGUAGAAAUUACUUUGAAGGAGACGAGAAGUGGAAUGUUGUAAAAGGUUUGUACAAAACCAAAUUGAGCAAUAUGAGUGAAUAGAGAAGACUAUUAAGGGACGUAAGUUAAAGUAUGGAAGUACAAUAAGAUUCGUAGGCAAGUGAGCUCUAAGGUUAUAAAGCAAUAUGGUUCAUUAAAAGUGGAUUAGUAAUUUUAAUGGGAAUUAUUAGAAGUUCUAUUUAACAAUACAAAUGCGAGGUGCUGAUAUCGAAGGAUGACUUAGGAUGAACUAGAACUAAGGUACCGAUUAGAGAUUCAAAGGACUCUCACACUAGCUAGCAUUGCAGUGAUCUAAAGAGUGAAUAAGUAGAAGGAGGAUUAGUGAGAAAAGAACCCUGCAAGAAAUUAUAAUGAUAUUCUUGACAAGCCACAUGAACUGAACUAAUCGAAAGAAGCCAUGCCAGCAAGAACAUAUGACUUGCUACGUAUAUCGACCCCUAUAAAUUGUCUUAGAGGAAGAAAGGAUACCCAUAGGUCAAUCGUAAGCUACUAGGAAUACAGACCUAUGGAAGGAAGAAAGACGACUAGAACUUCUAGCGUGAAACAUUGAACUAUUUCCCUAAGAGGGGAGAUGAGGUGGUAAAGCUCUAAGUCGAGAGAAAGUUUAGUUAACAACGAAAAGAUGGGAGGAUUGUGCAGAAAGGAGUAUAAGCAACUUUAAAGUAAUGCACUAGUACAAACAAUAUGGAAGAAGAAAACAAUGGUUUAUAAAUAGACAACAAGCAUAGUCAAACACUUUAUACAUGGGAAUGUUAACCUGAAGAAUGUGUUAAAGUUGGAAGAUAUGACUCCAAAGGAAAUUGCUGAGAUUGAAAGGAGAAGGAAGAACAAUCAUAAGGAGUUAGAAAGGGACCCGAGUACGAUGACUCUCGAAAUUAAAGAUAGACUAUAGUAAUAUCUAAAUAUUGCAACCGUGAGGGAUAGUCGAGAUGACAGCAAGAGCAAUGGAGUUAGUACAAUAUUUCAAGGAAACCCCUAAAGAAGAGAAACCAUCAAAGUGAAAACAAUAAAGUUGACAUCGAGGAUAAGACAUAGGAUAGACAAUAAGGAAAAGACGAAGUAGAAAGAAGCAGUAUGAAGGUAGGUUUUUUCACAACGUCGGUUUCUUCUAUAUAUCGAAGCAUAACUAACGAAUAAAUACAUCAAAUAUAUAUGGUAACAAGAAGAUGGAAAUCAAUAGAUGAGGUCCAAAACUAUAUGUACAAGGGAUUCAGAAUGUGUAGUUAGAUCAUAGUUUCAAAUAAAGAAUAUCAUAAUAUUAGCAUAAUAAGAAGUCGUUGACUACUAGGAGCAGUGAGAAAAAUAAGGAGGAAUGAAGGACCAUAAUGGUAUACAUGUUUCAUAUAAGACGACUUAGAACUAGAAUAAAAAUAGCGGAAUCAAUAUUGUAACGAAUGUGUUUAGUCGUAAGUCACGGGUGGUUUAAUAAAUGCGCAAGACCAAAAGGAAGAAGGGUUGACUGGAGGUCUUCACCAAUUAACAGGUUAGUAAUACGCUUGGCAGACUCAGAUAAUGAAAGUAUAAUGGCCGGGAAUAUGGUAGAGUCAUCUCUUGUAGAUAAGGAAUAUUUUUGUUUUAGGGAAAGUUAAAAGAGGUAUAGAGAAAAAUACAUUUUUUUGAGUCUAUUGAAGGAGGGAUCUUGAAAUAUCAUGGCCGAUUGCGUAUUGGGACAAAAGAUUACAUUGGUAGGACGACAUGAAAAAAACCAUUGUAGGGUCCGUGGCUUAGUAUUCCAUUUUCUAAUCGGACAAAUUACAACAUCAGGAACCCAAUGGAGUGACACGGAAUAAAGUAACCCAAUAUGGAAAGGAGAAGUGAUUGGCAUAAGAUUCAUUACAAAUAUAGCAAGUUCGAUUCCACACGGACGACCGUAGUUAGUUUGACAAAAAGUAUUUUACUUUUACUGGACAAAUUACUAAAGGUUAAGUAAAAUGGAAGGGUGCAAAAGGUAGAUCGGGUACAUAAUGUUUCCGUCUCGAUAACGGUUAAUAGAGGUGCUCGGUUAUAGAUAACUUGUAACGAUCCGAUCGGUUGUUUUGAGAUCUAGCAUGUCGUUCGGUGAUUCGAGACCUUAAGUAGCUUCACUUCAUGUAUUAUGACUUGCGCAUGUAGUCGGGUUAGAUUUUUGGGAAGAUCAGAGUUGGUUUGGAAGAAUAAUUUUCAAUUAGGAAGCUUUAAGUUGGAAGAGUUGACAUGGUUUGAAUUUUGGGUAAACGACCUCGGAUUAGAGUUUUUAUAGUUCCGUUAGGUCCAGAUGAUGAUUUUGGACUUAGGCGUAUGUCCGAAUUUGGAUUUAGAAGUCAGUAGUUUGAUUUGAUGCUUUUUGGAAAACGUUGGAAGAUUGAAGGUUGAUAGGUUUGACCGAGAGUUGACUUUGUUAAUAUCGGAUCCAGAUUAUGGUUCUGAGAGUUAGUAUAGGUCCGUUGUAUCAUUUGGGACUUUCAUGCAAAAUUCGAGGUCAUUCCAGGUUGAUUUGGUAUGGUUCGACAUGAGUUUUAGAAUGUUAAAAGUUCAUUAGUUCAUUAGGCUUGAAUUGAUAUGAAAUUUAUGGUUUUGAUAUUGUUUUGUGUGAUUUGAGGUAUCGAGUAGGUUCGUGUUAUAUUUUGGGACUGGUUUGUGUGAUUGGGCCGGGUCUCGGGGGCCUCGAGUGAGAGAGUUAUGUCUAUUUUCGUAUCGGGAAAGAUUGUUAGUUUCUCGUGCGAACUUUUGUUCUUCGCAAACGCGAGAGAGGUUCCGCGAACACGAAAAAGGAUUUAUGGGUUGAUCGGUCAACGCAAAAAAUUUCUCUUCGCAAACGCGAAGGUCUCCCGCGAAGGCGAUGAAUAAAAAUCAUCUGGGUAGUAUUUUAAAUCGAGAAUUUUAGUAUUUUGAGCAUAUCUUGAGUUCUAGAGCUCUGUGUGAGGUGAUCUCCGUUUGAGGUGAUUUUUUCGGCGUUGUUCUCGUCUCAACAAGGGGGUAAAUAUAUGAGCUUUAUUUUGAUGUUUUUCCAUGAUUAGUUUCGUUGAUUAUUAUUUUUAUCCGUCUUUGUAUUGUAGAAAUUGAGAUUUCGAGCCCCAAAGUUGAGAAAUAGUAAAUCCUUGAUUUGAGGGUCAAUUUGUGGAUGAAAUUGGAUGAUUUUCUAGAUAUAUACUAUAUAAGUUAUUUUUGAUAAUAUUUGAAAUCCGGGCAUGUUGGCCCGACGUUUAUCUUGUUGACUUUUCGAGCGAAGUUUGGAAUUGUUACAAAUUGUUAAAUUACAAGUAUUGGAGUAUAUUUUGAUUGGUUUGCACGUUGUUUUAUUAGUUUUGGAUCGUUUGGCAUCGGUUUGAGGAGUUGGAGAGGGGUUGGAGCCGGUUAUCGGAUUUCGGAGCAAGGUAAGUCUCCUGUCUAACCGUUUUAGGGGAAAAUUUACACCGUAUGUGUUAUAUUUAUUAUGUGAUACAUGUUGUGGGAGCUACGGACGUAUGAGGUGACGAGUGUCCUUGCAUAUGCCAGAAUUCUUGAUUAUGUCUGGGUAGACUUAGACUCACGCCAUGCUUUAAUUGUACUAUUUGAGUUAUUCCCUCCUGUUUAAAUGCAUUAAUUUAAAUUUAGCCUGAAAUUAGACUCGCGUAGAGUAUCAGACUUGCUAUUUUAGAUACUUGAUGAGCUACUUGAUUAGCCAUGGAAAUUGUACUUUCCUUUACGAAUUUCUUCUGCUUUGUGCGUAUUCGUCCGAUAGUUUUUCUUGAAUUUUAUAACUCACAUGUAUAUUCGUGAGUAGUGUCAGUGACCCGUCAAAGUUUCAUAUUCUAAAGGGAUCGGGCUGAACGCCUCAGCAAUACUCUUAUGGGAUCGGGCCGUUCGCCUCGAUGGUAUCAUGUAACAUACUCUUAUGGGAUCGAGUCGUUUGCCUCGGCACUAUCAUGUAACACACUCUUAUGGGAUCGGUCCGUUCGCCUCGGCGCUAUCAUGUGACACACUCUUAUGGGAUCGGGUCGUUCGCCUCAGGGGUAUCAUGUAACACACUCUUAUGGGAUCGGGCAGUUCGCCUCAGCAGAGUAACAUAUUCUUAUGGGAUUGGGCCAUUCACCUCGUCAGGAUUAUGCAUCACACUCUUAUGGGAUUGGGCUGUUAGCCUCGGUAGUUCUAUGAAACACUCUUAUGGGAUCAGGCCACUUGCCUCAGCAGAAUCGUGUGAAAUAUUUGAUAAGGAGUCCGCGUACUCAUGAGUUUACUGACUUGAGAUGUGGCCGUUGAUUUGGUAUUGACCAUCAACCGCGAUCGCGAAGAGGAAAUAGAGGAGCUGGGUAGGGAGUCCUUUGGCCCUCGUGAAUCCAACUUGGGGAUCGCGAACGCAGAAGAGUGGACAGCGAUGCAUCACGAACGUGACCGUCUGGACGCUAACGCAAAGAAGGUUUUUGGGCAGUUGCAAUUCUGGCCUUCGCGAUUGCGAGGCAUUUUCCGCGAUCGCGGAGAAGGGAUCACUAGGUAGACUUGAAUUUAUUACGGGACUUAGUCUCUAAUUUUUCAUUUUCCACUUGGUCUUGGACGAUUUUGAGAGCAUUUUGUGGGGAAUUUUCAUCAACACCAAGAGUUUUCGAGUCCUCGGCAUCGUUUGAGGAGCUCUAGUGACUUUGAAGAGCCGGAUUGAGUACUUGGAAUCAAGGUAAGUCUCUUGCCUAACCUUGUAAGAGGGAAAUUUUCCCCUUAGAUGUAAUAAUUGUUGUGUGCUACUUGUUGUGGGGAGCUAUGUACGCACGAGGUGACAAGAGUCCGUGCGUAGCUAUAUUCAUGAUAUGUCCGGAUAGACUUAGAUUCACAUCAUUCCAUAACUGUGCUAUUUGUAUUCAUCCCAUGUAUUGAUUUCCUUGAUUAUGACUGAGAUUGAGGUUAGAGUAAAGAUACAGAAUUAGCCUCUUACAUUGGAAAAUUUUGGAAAUAUUUGAUGAACUAUGGAUCUGUGCCUUCUCGACUCGCAUGUACUUCCGCGAGCGAGGAAAUAUUCUCUAUUCUUAUGGGAUCGGUCCAUGUGUAUUAAAUUACUCUUAUGGGAUCGGGUCGUUCGCAUCGGCAGUAUGGUUGUACUAUUCUUAUGGGAUUGGGUCGUUCGCCUCGACAAUACUGAGUACCACUAUUCCUAUGGGAUCAGGCUGUUUGCCUAGGUAGCUUCCUUCUUAAUACUUGUGAUUGGAUUUAGCUUGGUAACAAUUGAGUUAGCGCCUUGCAGGCCGUUAAUGUCAUGUUUAGUGAUUCGAUAUAGAUUCAUGUGGGGAAUUAUUGUAAUUGUUUUUAUCUGUUUCGUUGCUACUUGUUAUACAUUCUCCAUGUCUACUUUUUGUAUUUCUAUUACUGUUUGACCACUAGUAAGUGUCAAGUCGACCCCUCAUCACUACUUCUUCGAGGUUAGACUGGAUACUUACUAGAUACACAUUGUUUUAUGUACUCACGCUACACGUCUGCACUGAAUGUGCAAGUACUGAGACAGGUACUACCAGUGGUCACGCGGGCGCAUUGCCGCACUUCUACGUAGACUUAGUGGUGAGUUUCUUUGAUCUGUAGCACCGGAUCUCCCUCUACCUUGUUUAUUGUUUAUGUCUAUUACCCUUCAGACAAUUGUUGUAUUAGUUUCAUAUAUUCUCUAGAUUGCUCAUGCACUUUUAGUACCGGGUUUUGGGGGCUUCUAGCUUUUAUGUACCGUUGUACUUAUCAUUACUAUCACUAUGGUUUAUGUAUUUCUCACCCUGAAAUUUUUAACAAAAGAGUACAUACGGUUGCAUGAGAUCUUACUUAUUUCAUUCUUCUAAAAUGGAAACCUGCAUAAAAAGUUAAAAGGGGAUAACUAAAUUGGAGGUUCAUUUGUGGGCUUGUCUAACGGCGGCGUUAGGCGCCAUCGCGACCUAUUACGGGUUUUGGGUCGUGACAUGAUGAUUUAGUUGUCAAGAUGGAUUUUACCUACAUAUAGUUGAUAUGACAUAUUUUGUUGAUGGUAGCAUAUUGGAUUGACGUGAUAGGUGUUCAUCGUGCGUUUAUAUAUUUGAUUCUUGAAAAGUUCUCUUGAACGAGUUAUUUGGCAAUUCAUACGCAAUCGAAUCAUAUUGGGCACAUGUUUACAGUUAUGUGUGAGUAUUGAGAAAAUAUAUUAUACGGUGCAUACCUCUUUGUGAGUGCGUUGGUACAGGUUUGUAUUUGUUGAACAUGUCUAAGUGGUAGAGUUGUUUACUACCUUGUCUCAGUUGUGCACCUUUACUGAUGAUACUCUUUAUUUCGUAAUUAUUUUUCUGGAAUAUUAUUUAUAUGUAGUAUACAUGUUAUUGAGCUGCACAAGCUCUGCAAAGUGAAUAUCUUUUGACUUAAAAACCUCGUCACUACUUCUCUGAGGUUAGUCACGAUGCUUACUGAGUACAUAGGGUCGGUUGUACACAUAAUACACUUCUGCACCUUGCGUGCAGAUUCUUGGAGUUGGGCUGCUGUAGAUGACGAAGGAAGUCAUUGAAGUUGUAGUUGCGUCCCUGAUUCAAGUUACCAUUUGUCCAUGGUGGAUUAUGACCUCAUUUCCUUUUAUGUAACCUUCAAACAUAUGUAGUGUUUAUUUUUUUACCAGCUUUAUAACUCUUAAUCAUAAUGGCUCAUGACUUGUACUACCAAUCCUUUGGGUAGUUGUACUAAAUUAUUUCGCAAUUUUAUUUAUAAUAUUGACAAUUUCUUAUUGUAAGAUGACUUGUACGAAGGAAGGCAUUGAUGAUUUCUUAUUAGGUUCCAUCACGACUUGAUGAGAAUUUUAGGCCGUGACACAAAACUUCCAACUUUAAAAACUUAAAGUCUCUUAUUUUAUUUGUUGAUCAGGUCAUCAUGUGCAAGUAUAGAGUGAAAAAUGACGAAGAAAAAACUAAUACUCAUAAGUCUAACUUAGGUGAAGGGAGUGAUAUUAUUGCUAUUAUUAUUUCUCAUGUGAACAUUACAGCACAUGCGAAAGAAUGAGUAGUAGACUCUAGGGCCGCUCAACACAUUUGUGAAAAUCGAAAAGUAUUUUCUUCUUAAACUCCUAUAGGGGAUUGUAAAAAUUUGGUCUACCUUGGAUACUCAAGUACUAGCAAAGUCUUGGGUAAGGGUAAAGUACUUCAGAAAAAACUUUAGCCUUAGUAAAUAUGCUACAUGUUCUUGCUAUUCGGGCAAACUUGAUUUCUGUAUCCUUGUUAGGAAGAGCUAGGAUAAAAUUGUUAUUUGAAUCUGAUAAGAUUAUAAUGACAAAAAUAAUAUGUUUAUGGGAAAAGGGCUAUUGUAACCAAGAACGUUUUGUACAUAAUAUUUCUGAUGUUAUCAAUGAAAAUGCAUCUGCUUCUGCUUAUGGUUGAAUCUAUUUCUUCUUGGCAUGAUAGAUUAGGAUAUGUUAAUAUCACAUAUAUAAGAAAAAUAUAGUGUCUAGGUCUAAUAUCUGGUUUAGACUUAAAUUAUAAGUGUAAAAUAUGUGCUGAAGCUAUGAGUACAAAAAUGACCUGUUUUUCUGCAUAUAGAGAAAUUGAAUUACUAUCCUUAAUUCUCACUGAUUUACGAAAUUUAAAACAGACUAUGACUAGAGGUGGUAAAAGAUAUUAUGUGAUAUUAAUUGAUGAUUUUGUAUAAAUUUACUAAUUUGUAUUUGCUUAAAAAUAAAAAUAAUUAUUUCAGUGCUUUUAUUCCCUAUAAAACUAAGGUUGAAAAUCAACUUAGUAGAAAAAUCAAGAGAAUUAAAUUUGAUAGAGGUGGAGAAUAUGUAUCUAUUUUUCUGGAAAAGAAGAAAUAGUUCAUGAAGUAAUUGUACUUUAUCCACCUUAGUCAAAUGGAGUAGCUGAAAGGAAUAAUAAAACAUUGAAAGAGAUGAUGAACUCCAUGUUAGUUAGUACUAAUACAACUGAUAAUUUGUGGGGUGAAGCUAUAUUAUCUUCAUGUCACUUACAAAAUAGAAUACCACAUAGAAGAAUUGGCAAAACUCCUUAUGAAUUGUGAAAAGGUUAUAAAUAACUUGAAAUAUUUAAAAGUGUGAGAGUACCCUGCUAAAGUUCUUUUGCUUGAACCGGAAAAGAGAAAAUUAUGUUUCUAAAACUAUUGAUUGCACGCUUAUUAGAUAUAUUGAGCAUAGUGAUGCAUAUAGAUUUCCUUUUAAAAAAUAAUGUGCUUGAUCGCAAUACAAUAAUUGAGACAAAGAAUGCUGAAUUGGUUGAACAUAUUUUCACUACUUGAAAAACUUUCCCAUGCAUUUAUUGAAAUAAAUAAUAAGAUUACCUCUAAUGGGGAACUAAGAAGAAGCAAAAGGUCAAGAAAAGAAUAGUUUUCUUAGAGAAUUCUUUUUUAAUUUUUUGUUGAUAAAGAACAAUCAAAUUAUUUUAGAGUUAUAUCUUCUUCAGAAGCUAAAUAAUGAAAUGACGCAAUAAAAGUUAAUAUUGAUUCUAACAUGAAAAAUAAUACAUGAAUUUUUAUUGAUUUACCUCAUUGUACAAAUCCUGUUGGUUGUAAAUGAAUUUUCAAAGAAAAUUUAAUCCUAAUGGAUCUUUAGAUAAAUAUAAAGCUCAACUAGUAGCAAAAGAUUUUUUCUAAAAUAAAAUAAUAAUUAAUUUGAUACUUUUGUACCUGUGACUAGAAUUGUUUCUAUUCGAAUUUUAAUUAGUUUAGCAUCAACUCAUAAGCUUUUUAUUCAUCAAAUGGAUGUCAAAACUGCUUUUCUAAAUGGUGAUUUAGAAUAAGAAAUUUGUAUGGUUCAAUACGAAGGUUGUGUCAUUCGUGGACAAGAAAAAAAAUAUUUAAAUAUUAAUUAAAUCUCUUUAUGGCCUUAAUAAAGCUCCUAAGUAGUGGCAUGAGAAAUUUAAUUAAGUUUUACUGAGAGAUAGUUUUUCUUUAGUUGAGAUGGAUAAAUACAUUUAUACUAAAGUGGUAGACAACAAUUAUGUGAUAAUAUAUUUAUAUGUUUAUGACACGUUUAUUUUUUGUAAAAGUUUAGGUAUUAUGUAGAGUACCAAAUUAUUUUAUCUACUAAUUUUAAAUGUAAUAUCUAGGUGAAAUAAAUACGAUAAUGGAAGUUAAAGUUAUAAGGAGUGAAGAUGACAUAUAUUCUCACUAGAACAUUACGUUGAGACACUUUAUAAGAAGUUGGAACAUUUAAUGUCAUACCUAUGAGCAUUCCUUUUGAUGCUAACUCUCAAUUGAAAAAGAAUAAUGAUGACCCAUUUGUUCAAUCUAAAUAUGCUCAGAUUAUUGGAAGUGUAACGAUCCGAUCGAUCAUUUUGAGAUAUAGUAUUUUAUUUGGUAGUUUGAGACCUUGAGUAGUUUCAUAUAAUGUAGUAUGACUUGCGUAUAUAGUUAGUAUUGAUGUUGGUAGGGUUCGGGGUUGAUUUGGUAGAAUGAUUCUCAAUUGGGAAACUUUAAGUUGUAAGAGUUGAUCAAGGUUUGACUUUUGAAUGAACGACCUCGAAAUCGAGAUUUGAUGGUUUCAAUAGGUUUGUGUUGUGAUUUUGGACUUGGGCGUAUGUUCGGAUUUGAAUUCGGAUGUUCCUAUAAGGUAUUGGCUUAAUUUGUUCAAAGUUGGAAAUUUAAAAAAUUUAAAAGUUCAUAAGCUUGACCGGUGGUUGAAUUUUGUAACGAUCCGGUCAUUCGUUCCGAGAGUUAUAGCACUGUUUCCCUAUUCCUGCUUCGUUAUGUGUUAUUCAGCAGUGUUGAGUUGUAUCGAGUUGGUAGGUUUGGGUCCGGAGUAGUUUUAGAGUGAAAUGAACACUUAGUCGUUUAGUUAGAAAGCUAAGUUAGAAAAGUCAACCGGAAGUUGACUUAUGAGCAAACGAAUUCGGAUUUGGAUUUUUAUGAUUCGAUUAGUUUCGUUGGGUGAUUUUAGACUUAGGAGUGUGUCCGUAAUGUAAUUUGGAGGUCCGUGGUAGAAUUAGAAUUGAAUUGGCAAAAGUUGGAAGUUUAGAAGUUUUUAGGCUUGAAUCCGAGGUUGAUUUGGUGUUUUGGUAUUAUUUUGGGUGUUCUGAAGGUUCGACUAAGUUCGGGUAGUGAUAUAUGACUUGUUGGAAUUAUCGGUUGAGGUCACGAGGGCCUCGGGUGAGUUUCGGAUAGGUUUGGGUUGUGUUGCGCUCAUUUUUCUUAUGUUUCGAUGCCGUUUCUUCAAGCAUAAAUGAUAUCAUAUUGAAAAAAAUAUGGCAACCUAAUUCUUAGUAAAAUGACCAUACGAAAUUGCCACUAACGGUGUAUUUAAAAAUUUGCACUAUUUGCAAAUAUUAAAACCUACAUAUCUCCUUCAUUAUAAGGUCAAAUUGAGUGAUUCAAAAGCCUAACUUGACUAAUAUUUCACAAGAAAUCCAUUGGAGGCAUAAACAUCGAGUUUUGGGAUCGUUUGGAAUGAGAAACGAGGCAAAAUAACUGGCAGAAAAAUAUAUAAAAUGAGGGUUUAUUCAUACGGUCAUAUUUUGAGUUGGGGAGCUCAGAUUUGGGCAAUUUUGGGGGCGAUUUUCACCAUAAGGAUAGGGGUAAAUGUUCUUUACUCAGUUUUGGUUAUAUUUCAUGAAUCCAUCUUCGUUUUUGGGAUUUGAUUCAUGAGUUCAAAGGGAAAUUGAGGGAGUUAGGGUUUGAGUUUUGGAGAGUUUAAGUGAGGAUUUGAGGGACCAAAAGGAGUCCAAUUUUGAUAAACUUUAUAUGGUUAGACUCGGGAGAGGACGAAGUUUAUUAUUGUUCCAUUUUUGACUGAUUUCGAGAUGUGGGCCCAGGGACAGAUUUUGGCCGANNNNNNNNNNNNNNNNNNNNNNNNNNNNNNNNNNNNNNNNNNNNNNNNNNNAGAUUCAGAGCUUUUGGAGACCGAGUCUAGAGACGAGAGUAUCCCGGAGUAAGAUUUUAUGCUGUUAAGGUAAGUAACAGUUUUAACUCUGGCUUUGAGGGUAUAAACCUGAAGAAUUUGAUAUCGUGUGACUGUUUGGAGGUGAUACCCAUGCUAGGUGACGGGCGUGUGGGUGUAUACCUCGAUGGAUUGAGACUUGGUCCGUCCCAUGAGGCCUCAUGGACAUCAUCUGUGUUUACGUAGUUACUUGUUGUUGAACUUGUCUGCCUUCAUGUUAGAGAUCAUGCUUAGGCUUUAUUCAUGCUCACAUUAUUUGUACUCAGUCAUAGAAAUUAUUGUACAUGUUUACCUCAGUCUCUAUUAUUUGCUAAUAUGCUGUAAUGCUUGAUGUGGGUUGUGUUCCCUUAUUUGUUGAUGAUGGUGAGGCUAGUGAGGUACAUGAUUGAGUGAGGACGAGGGCCUGGUUGUGAGGAUAUUAAUACCAUAGCGUGUGAGUUGUCCGCGUAGCACGUGAGUUGACCGUGCAGGUCUAGGUAUUAAUACCAUAGCGUGUGAGUUGUCCGCGUAACACGUGAGUUGACCGUGCGGAUCCAGGUAUUGAUAUGAUGGCACGUGAGUUGUCCGUGCUUAGCACUUUGGGCUUUGGGAGCCCCUCCGGAGUCUGUACACACCCCAGUGAGCGCAGAGUGUUGAGCGUUGAGUGCUGAGUGAUGGAGUGACAUUGCUCUGAGGUUGCAUUUAUUUUGUUGUUGCUGCAUUUACCUAUUAAUUUUCCUUGUGGUCUUACUGAUUUAUGAAAUUACCUGUCUACUCCUGUUUGCACUUAAUUGUGGAAAUAAUAACUGGAUUAUUCUACUUAGCUCGUCAUUACUGCUCAGUCCCUUAGUUAUUUCUAUUACUACUGAGUCAGUUAUACUCAUACUACACCCUGCACUUUAUGUGUAGAUCCAGGUGAGUUAGAAGGCGGCGAUUGUUGAGUUCAGUCCGGCUAUCUUUGGAGACUGCAAGGUAGUUGUUAGCGUCCGCAGGAACUUGUUACUCCUCUUGUCAUUUCUUCUUUUGGAUAGUAAGACAGCUUAUAUAUCUUAGUUUAUAGUUUUAGAUGCUCAUGACUUAGUGACACCCCGAUGUUUGGUGCUCGUUUCCGUAUUUUCUAUAUUAUAUUUAGAGUUGAUUUAGUUUAUGAGAAAUUCAAAUGUUGGUAUUAUUUUAUUAAAUUCUUAUAAUCAAUUUAGUAGUAAUAUUUUGGGAAAUAGGCUUGCCUUGUAACACGAUAGGUGCCAUCACGACCAUGGUUAGAUUUUGGGUCAUGACAACUUUGAUAUUAUCGUACUCGGAUUGUGGUUUUUGAGAUCUUGUACAGGUUCAUUUAGGUGAUUAGAACUUGUGUGUAAUGUUUGGUUAUGAUUCGGAAUUCCUAAGUAUGAUUCGGAAGAGUUCGGCAAAGUUAGAAUAUUUGAAAGUUAAGAGAAUAAUUUUGAUCUUCGAUUCGUGAUUUUAAUAUUAUUUGCGAUGUUUUGAGCCUUUGGACAAGUUUGGAUAUUGUAUAUGGAUUUAUUGGUAUGACUGGAUGGGGUUCCGAGGGGGACGGGUGUGAUUCGGGGUGGUUUUAGACCAUUUCGAUUGAGUUUGGAGUUGAUGUGCCGCUGGUGUUCUGCAGAGCGUCGCGAUCGCAAAACUAGGCUCGCGAUCGCAGAGAAGGUGUAAUGACCCGACCUGUCAUUUUAUAUAUUUGAGCCUCGCUUUCCUAUUUUAUGCUCCUCGUAUGUGUAUUUGUUAUUAUGUGACUUGCUGGGAUGGUUGUUUUGGUUUAGGGAAUGUUUGGAUUGAAUUGGAACACUUAGUUCCAAGGUUGAAAGCUUAAGUUAUAAGAGUGGACCAGGGUUUGAAUCCUUCCACGCAUUCGUAUGCGCAUAUGGGCACUCGAUAUUAGUUGUGCAUCGACGGCUUGUGAUUCCCUGGAUGAGGUGUGAGAUGUGAUUUCUGCGUGUUGAUGUCGGGCCAGUAUAGAGGAUAUAAGGCUAGGUUUUGACUCUAGCUUGAGCAUUGAGGUGUUGAUUGUGUGAGCGCAUGCUUGUGGUACUUUGGGGGAUAUUUAAGAGAGUAUUCAGCGGCUUAUGAGCCUUAGGGCGGUGUGGUUUUAUGCUUGGGUCUCGUGUGGUGAGUCUGGGUUGAGGAUUGUGGUGUUAUGGCGGGGUAAAGUAUCGAUUUGAAGGUAAUUCAGAAGGAACUCGGAUAGAUAGGACAUCUUGGUAGUUGGUUGAAUCGACAUGGUAAUGGGUAUGAUUAGUUCUUUGGGUGUGUAUGAGGUAAUGAGUUCUACAGGUGUUUUGUUGCAAUGUCCUUGGGUUUUUAGUGGUCUGCGUAGCUUGGUUGAGUUAGAAGGAUUCAGUCCUGACGGAUUGGUUUUGUGCCAUUGGGGUUCGGAGAGAGUUCUUGAUGGUUUUGAAAACAACUCUUGGCACAUUCGAGGACAAACGUUUGUAUAAGAGGGGGAGGAUGUAACUACCCGGUUGUUCGUUCCGAGAGUUAUAACAUUGUUUCCCCAUUCCUGCUUCCUUGUGUGUUGUUCAGCGGUGUUGAGUUGUAUCGAGUUGGUAGGUUUGGGUCCGGAGUAGUUUUGGAGUGAAAUGAACACUUAGUCUCUUAGUUAGAAAGCUAAGUUAGAAAAGUCAACUGGAAGUUAACUUAUGAGUAAACGAAUUCGAAUUUGGAUUUUUAUGAUUCGAUUAGCUUCGUUGGGUGAGUUUAGACUUAGGAGUAUGUCCGGAAUAUAAUUUGGAGAUCCGUGAUAGAAUUAGGCUUGAAUUGGCAAAAGUUAGAAGUUUAGAAGUUCUUAGGCUUGAAUAUGAGGUUGAUUUGGUAUUUUGGUGUUUUUUUGGGUGUUUCGAAGGUUCGACUAAAUUUGGGUAGUGAUAUAUGACUUGUUGGAAUUAUCGGUUGAGGUCCCGAGGGCCUUGGGUGAGUUUCGGAUAGGUUUGGGUUGUGUUGCGCUCAUUUUUCUUAUGUUUCGACGCCGUUUCUUCAAAAGCAUAAAUGAUAUCAUAUUGAAACAAUGAGCUCCAAUUUCCUUUUUGAUUGCAGCAUUAGAUCUGUAUCGUAAUUAUGGACCCGUAGCAAAAAGAUUCAUCGAAUUUGGACACCGUAUGAGGAUUUUAUGGUCAUUUUACUAAGAAUUAGGUUGCCAGAUUUGUCAGAUUAAUUACGAAAUUGCCACUGAUGGUGUAUUUAAAAAUCUGCACUAUUUGCAAAUAUUAAAACAUACAUAUCUCCUUCAUUAUAAGGUCAAAUUGAGUGAUUCAAAAGCCUAACUUGACUAAUAUUUCACAAGGAAUCUGUCGGAGGUAUAAAAUGCGAGUUUAGGGAUCGUUUUGCACAAGAAACGAGGCAGAAUAACUGGCAACAAAAUAUAUAAAACGAGGGUUUGUUCAUUCGGUCAUAUUUUGAGUUGGGGAGCUCGGAUUUGGGCGAUUUCGGGGGUUAUUUUCACCAUAUGGAUUGAGGUAAGUGUUCUUUACUCAGUUUUGAUUAUAUUUCAUGAAUCCAUCUUCGUUUUUGGGAUUUGAUUGAUGAUUUCAAAGGGAAAUUGAGGGAGUUAGGGUUUGAGUUUUGGAGAGUUUAAGUGAGGAUUUGAGGGACCAAACGGAGUCCGAUUUUGAUAAAUUAUAUAUGGUUAUACUCGGGAGAGGACGAGGUUUAUUAUUCUGCCAUUUUUGACUGAUUUCGAGACAUGGGCUCGGAGGCCGGGUUUUGGCCGAUUUCGGAAUUUUAGCAUAUUUAUAUAGUUUUUAUUGUGGAAUUCGAUUCUUUAGACUAUGUUGAUAGUAGUAUUAUGAUUUUUGGCUAGAUUCAGAGCUUUUGGAGACCAAUUCCAGAGACGAGGGCAUCUUGGAGUAGGAUUUUACGCUGUUAAGGUAAGUAAUAAUUUUAACUCUGGCUUUGAGGGUAUAAACCCGAAGAAUUUGAUAUCGUGUCACUGUUUGGAGGUGAUACUCACGCUAGGUGACAGGCGUGUGGGUGUAUACCUCGAGGGAUUGAGACUUGGUCCGUCCCAUGAGGUCUCAUGGCCAUCAUCUGUGUUUACGUAGUUACUUGUUGUUGAACUUGUCUGCCUUCAUGUUAGAGAUCAUGCUUAGGCUUUAUUCAUGCUCACAUUAUUUGUACUCAGUCAUAGAAAUUAUUGUACAUGUUUACCUCAGUCUCUAUUAUUUGCUAAUAUAUUGUGAUGCUUGAUGUGGGUUGUGUUCCCUUUAUUUAUUGAUGAUGGUGAGGCUAGUGAGGUACAUGAUAGAGUGUGGCCGAGGGCCUGGUUGUGAGGAAAUUAAUACCAUAUCAUGUGUGUUGUCCACGUAGCACAUAAGUUGACCGUGCGGGUCCAGGUAUUAUAAUACCAUAGCGCGUGAGUUGUCCGCGUAGCACGUGNGUUGACCGNNNNNNNNNNNNNNNNNNNNNNNNNNNNNNNNNNNNNUUGUCCGUGCUUAGCGCUUGGGCUUUGGGAGCCCCUCCGGAGUUUGUACAUACCCCCAGUGAGCGCACAGUGUUGAGUGUUGAGUGCGACUACUGAGUGAUGGAGUGACAUUGUUGCGAGGUUGUAUUUACUUUUGUUGUUGCUGCAUUUACCUAUUAAUUUUCCUUGUAGUUUUACUAAUUUAUGAAAUUACCUGUCUACUCUUGUUUGCACUUAAUUGUGGAAAUAUUAAUUAGAUUAUUCUGCUUAGCUCGUCAUUACUGCUCAGUCCCUUAGUUAUUUCUGUUACUAGUGAGUCGGUUGUACUCAUACUACACCCUGCACUUUAUGAGUAGAUCCAGGUGAGUUAGAAGGCGACGAUUGUUGAUUUCAGUCCGGCUAUCUUUGGAGACUGCAAGGUAGCUGUUAGCGUCCGCAGGACCUUGUUACUCCUCUUGUAAUUUCUUCUUUUGGACAGUUAGACAGCUUAUAUAUCUGAGUUCAUAGUUUUAGAUGCUCAUGACUUAGUGACACCCUGAUGUUUGGGGCUCGUUUUCGUAUUUUCUAUAUUAUAUUUAGAGUUGAUUUAGUUUAUGAGAAAUUCAAAUAUUGGUAUUGUUUUAUUAAAUUCUUAUAAUCAAUUUAGUAGUAAUAUUUUGGGAAAUAGGCUUGCCUUGUAACACGAUAGGCGCCAUCACGACCAUGGUUAGAUUUUGGGUCAUGAGAACUUUGAUAUUAUCAGACUCGGAUUGUGGUUUUUGAGAUCUUGUACAGGUUCAUUUAGGUGAUUAGAACUUGUGUGUAAAGUUUGGUUAUGUUUCGUAAUGCCUAAGUAUGAUUCGAAAGAGUUUGGCAAAGUUAGAAUAUUUGAAAGUUAAGAGAAUAAUUUUGAUCUUCGAUUCGUGAUUUUGAUAUUAUUUGCGGUGUUUUGAGCCUUUGGACAAGUCUGGAUAUUGUAUAUGGAUUUAUUGGUAUGAUUGGACGGGGUUCCGAGGGGGACGGGUGUGAUUUGGGGUGGUUUUAGACCAUUUCGAUUGAGUUUGGAGUUAUUGUGCCGCUGGUGUUCUACAGAGCAUCGCGAUCGCAGAACUAGGCUCGCGAUCACAGAGAAUGUGUAAUGACCCGGCCUGUCAUUUUAUGUAUUUGAGACCCGCUUCCCCACUUUAUGCUCCCCGUAUGUGUAUUUGUUAUUAUGUGACUUGCGGGGAUGGUUGUUUUGGUUUAGGGAAUGUUUGGAUUGAAUUGGAACACUUAGUUCCAAGGUUGGAAGCUUAAGUUAUAAGAGUUGACCAGGGUUUGACUUUUGUGCAAACGAUCCCGAAAUAGUAUUUUGAUGGUUCCAAAUAGGUUCCUAUGGUGAUUUUGGACUUUGGUGUAUGUUCGGAUUUGGAGGUUUCUAGGUUGAUUUGGCUCUAUUUAGUGAAAGAUGGAGAUUUAAAGGUUUAGAAGUUCAUAGGUUUGACCAGAAGUUAACUUUAAAGUUAUCAGGUUCAAAUUGUUGUUCUAAGAGUUGGAAUAGGUUCAUUAUGUCAUUUGGGACUUGUGUGUAAAAUUUGGGGUUAUUCUUAGUUGAUUAGAUGUGGUUCAGCAUGAGUUUUGAAAGUUGAAAGAUGAUUAGCUCAUUAAGCUUGUAUUGAGGUGCGAUUUGUAGUUUUGAUGUUACUUUGUGUGAUUUGAGACCUCGAGUAGGUCUGUGUUAUAUUUUUGGACUUUUUGGUAUGAUUCGACUAGGUCCCAAGUGACUCGGGUGUAUUUCGGAUGAAUUUUGAAUCAUUUUUGUAAAGUUUGGAACUGCUGAAGUUGUUGAUGUUUGGUGUGCUUCACGAUCGCGGAGCAGGUCUCGCGAUCACGAAGGCUAUCUUAUGGUAGUGUUGUUUUUUCUCUUCACAUUCGCUAUCGGAGAUCGCAGAUCUUAGUGGGAAGUGGACUUCGCAUUCGUGACCUGGGCGUCGCGUUCGCAUAGAAGGAAGGCAGGAUGGGGUCGUCACUCGUUUGGCCAUCGCGUUCGUAGGUGGGCCACCACGUUUGCAUAGGCCAGUGGAUGUUAUGCAUCGCGUUUGCGGGUGCCAUGCCACGAUCGUGAAUGGUAAUAUUGGGCUAAUGCAGGGUUGUGCUUUGCGAACACGAGGCUUGGGCCGCAUUCAUGAAGGGUAUCACUAGGCAGACCUUUAUGUU